GCUGCUCCGGGGCUCCAUCGGCGACUACCGCGUGGCGUGCCUCGACGCGGCGCCGCGCGCGUUCCUGCAGCCCAGCCACUACGACGCCGACGAGAUCGCCUUCGUGAGGGAAGGCGAGGGCGUGCUGGUGCUGCUGAGGAACGGGAAGCGGGAGUCGUUCUGCGUCAGGGAGGGCGACGUGUUCGUGAUCCCGGCCGGGUCCAUCGUGUACUCCGCCAACACGCACCGCUCCAAGUGGUUCCGGGUCGUCAUGCUCCUCAACCCCGUCUCCACGCCGGGCAGCUUCCAGGUGAGCCAUGCAUGGCCGCAGCAUGCAAGCUCCUCCGCCAUCUGCGUUGCAUGCAACGACUUACUUUUGGUAUCUGUUCUUGAUACGUUUGUAGGAGUUCUCCCCUAUUGGGUUUGGAGGCGAGCAGCCGCAGUCGUUCUUCAGCGUAUUCAGCGACGAGGUUAUCCGGGCGGCAUUUAACGUACGUACGCGCUGACCAUCGGCACUGAUUUUUGUUUGUUUGUUUGUUCAUCGCUUGAUUCAGCUCGAUCUUAUGCUUGUACGCGCUGACCGUCUGCAUGCAUGUGUUUCAAUAGACUCGGCAGCGGGAGGAUGUGGACAGAGUGUUCGAGACGAAGAGCAGAGGUGAGGGUCAGAUAUCUGAGGGGUCGGAGGAGCAGAUACGGGAGCUGAGCAGGUCGUGCUCCAGGGGAGGACGCGGCGGUGGCGGCGGGUCGGGUUCCGAGAAGGAGGACAUCCAGCCGCGCAGCCUCACCGGCGAGAAGCCCCGCUACUCGAACAAGCACGGCAGGUUCCACCAGAUCACCGGCGACCAGUGCCACCACCUCCGCAAGCUCGACAUGGAUGUCACCCUCGUCAACAUUACCCGGGUAAAGCAUCCGCGCCGCACAUACAGAUAGUUUUGUAGCAUCAUGCAACGGGACGGAUUGGUGCUGGACCUAAGCGCCUAAGCCAAUGUGUGUGUUUCGUCGUGCGUGCAUGCAUGCAGGGCUCGAUGACGGCGCUGAGGUACACCACCCGGUCGACCAGGAUCUACAUCGUCGUGGAGGGGCGCGACGGCUACUUCGAGAUGGCGUGCCCGCACGUCUCCAGCUCCGGCCGUUCUGAACGCCGGGAGCACGAGCAGGAGCGCGAGCGCGAACACGGACACGGCAGGAGAAGCGAGGAGCGCGGGCAGGAGCACGGCAGGAGGAGCGAGGAGGAGGAGCACGGCCACGGCGGCGAGCAGGAGAAAUCGAGGGGCUACAGGCAGGUGAGGGCCCAGAUCAAGGUGGGGUCGGUGAUCGUGCUCCCCGCGGGCCACCCGGCGACGUUCGUGGCCGGGAACGAGGGGAACCUCGCCCUGCUGUCCUUCGGCGUGGGCGCCAACAACGACGAGGAGGUGUUCGUGACCGGCGGGAACAGCGUGCUGAAGCAGCUGGACGAGGCGGCCAAGGCGCUGGCGUUCCCCCAGCAGGCGAGGGAGCUGGCGGACAGGGUCAUCCGCGCGCAGCCGGAGUCCGUGUUCGUCCCCGGCCCGCAGCAGCAGCGCCGCGUCGCCGACAUGUGAGCGACGAUCUCCAGCGCGCGCAUGCGGUCCCUGGAGCUGCAUGCAUGCAUGAGUGUACAUGUGAGUGUGACGGGAAUAAAUAGCUAGCACGGUACUGCGUACUACAGUACGUGCGUGUAGCAGAGGAGAGGAGAGGAGAGACGAUGCUUGUGUUCGUGCGCGGUUAUGCAUGAAUGCAUGCAUGCACGUGAGUUUUCUAUGCAUGUAGUAGUACGUGAGUUUUCCGGUAAUAAAAGACGUGACCUUGCCCGUCGGCUCGUUGGAACAUGUCGGUGAAAAUUGCACUUUUACUCCUACAGUGACGUGUCAGUGUCACAUAGACCGAUCGAUCGAGUAACAGACAAAAACAAGACUUGUCAUGUACCGGAACGGAAGAACCGGAGCACAGGCCAAGCGAUCGACCUGAGUCACGCUCCUCUCGCCAGCCACUUUCCUGCCGGAGUCAGGACAGUUACUAGUAGGACGAGCGAAGCACGGGGAGUGACCACCAGCAGAGCAGUUCACAGACAGCAAGCAAGCGCGAGGAUCGAUCGAUCGGAGCGGCGGCGAUGGACGACGACUUCGGCUGCGUGAUCGGCGUCGCGGGGAGGGGGGAAUUCGCGGUGGUGGCGUCGGGAACCCCCAUCGUGCACCUCGACUCCCACAGGCUUCUCGCCAUCUCCGGCAACCAGCAGAACCGGUAACCACCGAGCUAGAUCCAAUCCACCUCCACCCGCCUCGCUCGAUCCCGGCCACCUUCCAUGGCUUCUGACCUCAGCUUCCCGCCCGUGUUUUGCUUUGGCAUGCAGCGCAAGGUUCGCGAGGACGAUGUGCCGCAGGUGGAAGGGGCUGACCGGGGUGCCGUACCCCGACACCGCCACGGUCGCCGACCUCGCGCGCGAGCUGCUCGACCGCGGCCACUCCGUCGAGGCCCUGGUCGUGGGCUACAACCAGGCCCAGCCCCACGCGGCGGUGAGCUGCGUCGGCCCCGCGCUCCCGCGCGGCCAGUUCCUGUUCGGGGCCGCGGGCCGGGGAGCGGAGGCCUGCAGGGCGGUGCUGCGCCGGGGCUACCGCGACACCAUGUCGUCCAGCGACGUGAUCGAGCUCGUGGAGAGCUGCAUCGCGGAGAUCCGCCGGCUCGGGGUUCCCGGGGCUGCCGGCGAGUUUGCGGUCCAGUAUGUCGACAGAUGGGGAGCGGCGCCCGUGGGAAGGGAGGUCAGGGAGACAAUGGCUAUCUAUCGACAGAUGGCACUCGAAGUGUUAAAAUCACAUGGGUUAGCCCUCAACCCCAUUCUCCGUGAAGAUCACAUCGCUUGUGUGUUUGAUCGAGAUUGACGUCCCGCCCCCUUUUGAUUCAGGGCAAUUGACGCCCUCUAAAUCCUGAUCGGUACUAGAGUACUUAUAGGCAAAGGAUGACUGACUCGGCUAAGAGCAUCUCCAAUGGAUCCGAAAAUCUUCCCCACUAAGAGCAUCUCUAGCAGACGCGCUUCGCUUUGGCGAGGUAUAAUUCUUUUACAGCGCCAAAAUAGUCUUUUUACGCGCGGGAGCGACGAAAAGGUUUUCCAUAUGCACAAAAACACAAAAACACGGCGCCCAGUCCGGCGGCCCCACCUGCAGCAGCCCAGAUUUUGCAGUGCGCACAAUCCAUGGCCCAAAAUUUACAGCCAGGGAUACCGCUUUUAGCAUGUGCGCUAAAGUUUUUGUGCGUGCUCGCAGCCCAAAAUUUGCAGCCCGGGAUACUGCUUUUAGCACGUGCAUUAAAGUUUUUUGUGCAUGCUCUAUUUUACAGCAUCUGCUGAAGCGCUGUUUUUUUGUAAUGGUUACAGGGGCUACCCAAAUACCUGCUUUCAGGUUAUUUGGAGAUGGUUGUUUUUGCAGACCCCAAUAACCCCAUCCCGCAUCCCAAUACCCAACUUGACAUAUGUGCNNNNNNNNNNNNNNNNNNNNNNNNNNNNNNNNNNNNNNNNNNNNNNNNNNNNNNNNNNNNNNNNNNNNNNNNNNNNNNNNNNNNNNNNNNNNNNNNNNNNNNNNNNNNNNNNNNNNNNNNNNNNNNNNNNNNNNNNNNNNNNNNNNNNNNNNNNNNNNNNNNNNNNNNNNNNNNNNNNNNNNNNNNNNNNNNNNNNNNNNNNNNNNNNNNNNNNNNNNNNNNNNNNNNNNNNNNNNNNNNNNNNNNNNNNNNNNNNNNNNNNNNNNNNNNNNNNNNNNNNNNNNNNNNNNNNNNNNNNNNNNNNNNNNNNNNNNNNNNNNNNNUGCAAUGCAGUCAACGACAAUGGUGCUUUGCGGGUGGGCGCGGCGGUGCGUGGCCAACAUCAGUUGGUGGCGGCAGUGAGGGUGGGGGUGGCACUGUGGUCAGCGGUGGUUGACGAUAGGUGUGGUGGUCGUCAAUGGCAUGGGCAUCAUCAGGUGGGAGGGUGAUUUGUGUGGGCUCCAUGGGAUUGGAGGAGGUGUUGGCGGAGACAUGGGCGGAGAUCUAGGGAUUAAGUCAACUGUUUGGAACCUUCAAAAUUACGAUGUUUGUUUUUUGGAUUGGUAUUUAUAGUUCUUUACUAAAUUGAUACAACGUUUGUUUUUGGAAUGCUAAUUAUGAUGAUUUGAUUGAUUGAUACAAUGUUCAUUUUAUGGAAUGCUAAUUACGAUGCUUUAUUUGCUAAUCACAUCAUUUUCAAGCAAAUAUAGGCCAUCAGAUCUAAGAUAAUGAAGGGCUGAUAUUCAAUGUUUCUACCACAACUAGCUUGUUUAAUAGUAGUGGAGACUAGAUGAACAUUUUUUUAAUAACACACUGAACAUUUGUUUAUGUGUACGAGCAAAUUUGUAAAUGGAUUGAGAAUUAGUUAUUUUUUUGUCAGUCCCACUUAAAAUAAAUUUUCAGAAAAGUGGAAUUUACUUUGUAUUUUCACAAGUAAAGUGGGCGCGAACUUCCUAUAGAAGAUUGGAUUAGACUUAAUUUUUUUGAGAGUUGCAUAGGAAAGGGUGGACAAUAUAUUAGAUUCGUUUGUAAGAGAAAACAUUAUGUAGGUGGUGGAACAAUUUUAAGUAACUGCUACCUUUUCCAUGUCCUCUUCGAACAUUUUUUUGCAUGAUACCUUAGGGCGUCAGAAAAAAUUGGUAUGUUCUCUCUCUAAAUAGAUUCAUAUGUACAUGACUCGAUUUUUGCAAGUUGAAUAUAGAUUAUCACUUGGUUAAUCAAUCCAUGGUGUGUUUGCCCAACAACCUAGGAGGGUUGGGCAUUAGAGAUCUAGACAUCAUGAAAACCAUCUUACUUUCUAAGUGUUGGUAGAAAGUGUUCCAUGUAGAUGGUAUGUAGCAACAUUCCUUAGAUGAUAACCCAACACAUCAUACUCUAGAAUAGCUGAAAACUGGAGUGGGCAACCCACACUUUUUAUAAAGGUUGAUGCAGGUAGUCUUCAUUUGGUUUUGUUUGUAGGGUCAAAGUUGGGAAUAGUGGCAAACUAAAUUUUGGAAAGAUCGAUGGUUCUUUGAUGACCAUUUUUACACUAUCUUCCCAUACUGUACACAAUCUUCUUAGAUCCCUAUAUUACUGUUAAAAAAGUUUUUGCAUGUUAUUCUUUAUCCCUUAGGUUUUAGAGGGUGGAAGUAAGAAUUUAAAGAGAGUAAUGGUUUGGCUUAAGGAUCAUGGAAAAAAUGUCUCUAAAUAAAAAUCCCCACGAUUAGUUUGGCUAUUGUCAGAUUCGUGAAACUUUUGUGUUUUGUUGCACAAAGGUGCUAAAUCUGAGAGAGAGUGUCUCUUCUAUGGGAGUAAUGAACCAAUAACAUUAGCCGAUCUUUCAAUCUUGAUUGGAGGAGCACUAAGGCAAGUAUUUUAACUAGGAUAACUCUUCAACUUAUUGAAGUGAUAUUGUGCAAAAGCAAAGCAUAGCUUCAUAUUAUCCUAUUUUAGUGAAUGUCAACAUUGAAAUUAAAUUUUGAUAAAGUGGGAUUGUUGUGUGAGCAACCUAACUAUAGAUUUGUUGAAUUUGAGGGUUUCAAAAGUCACAGACUUCCUACAAAAUACUUAUGUAUACCUUAAGAUGAGAAAGUUAUUAUACUUAUGUAAUGGAUGGCUGCAAGGAAAAGGUAGAAAGUAGAUUAGGUAUUAGCCCCCCAUGCAAAAAAUAUUAGGUGUUAGGAAAGGGAAGACACUAUCCAUUGGUGGCGGAACAGUUGAAUUAAUUCCUCCCUUUAUAAUGUCCCUUUGAAGGUGCUCCCUUUUUACAAGAUACCUCAUGGUGCCAGGAAAAAAAUCAUUACGUACAAGGUUGCAUUUAUGUGGAGAGCUGACAUGUUGAAAAUGAAAUAUUAAAUCGGCCCAUGGUCUAUCUGCCCAAGGACUAAGGAGGGUUGGCAUUUUAGAUUUGGACAUAAUGAAUAUGGCUUUAUUUUCUAAGUAGCUUUAGAAAUGGUUCAACAGAGGUGGUAUGUGACAACAAUUCCUUACUACAAAAUACCUCACACAUUAGACUCUAGGAUAGUGAAAAUGGGAGUGGGAAACACACAAUUUUGUUAGGAGCUAUGGUGUUGGGCCAGAGUUGGGAAUACUGUCAAACUUGAUUCUAGGAAGAUCAAUGGUUCUCUAAGGAUAACUUUUACACUAGCUUCCAUUCUAUUAAUGUUUUAAAAGUUAUUACAUGUGAUUUUAAAUCUCUCAAUUUUUGGAGAGCAGUAGUAGAAGUUAAAAUAGAAUAAUGGUUAUACUUAUGGACCGUCUGUAAAAAAAUGCUUCUCCAAAUUGACAUCCACACAAAUUUGUCUGAUUGCUAAGUUCAGGAAACUUUAGUGUUUUGUUGUAGGAGGUGGUAAAUCUGAGAGGAAAUGCAUCUUGUAAUGAACCAAUAACCACCUGCCAUUUUCCUCCCCCCACCAAUACACAACACACAUAUGGAUAUCAUUAGCUGCUCUUUGAAUCUCGAUUGGAAGAGCACUUAGGCAAGGAUUGCUAACUAGGCUAAUUCUUCCAUUGAUUGACGUGAUAUUGGGAAAGACAAAACUCUCAACUUCCUAUUGUGCCUAUUUUAAUAAUCUCAACAUUGAACAUAAUGUAUAUUAAGGGGAAUUUACUGUGUCAUGUGACCAACUUUAGAUUUAUUGAAUUUGAGAAUAUUCAGAAUGGGCAAACUUCCUAUGAGAAAAUGGUUAUACUUAACUAUUGUAGAGCUGUGAGGAAAAUGUGGUAAGUAGAUUAGGUUCUUGGCAAGGAAAGAAAAUGUCCAUUGGUGGUACAAAAACUUCAAUUAAUUCCUCCCUUCCUAGUGUCACUUUGAAUGUGAUAUCUGUUUACAAGAUAUCUAAGGGUCUCAAGACGAAAGACUGAUAUAUACAACGCUAGAUUUCUAUGGAAUCGUGACAAGUUGAAAAGGAAAUAUCACUUGGUUAAUUAGCCUAUGUUUUGUCUGCCCGAGGACCAAGGAGGGUUGGGCAUUUUACAUCUGGACAUUCCUUUACUUUCUAAGUAGCUGUAGAAACUUUCUAAUUUAGAUGGCAUGUGCCAACAUUUCCAUACUAAGAAAUACCUCACACAUCAUACCCUGGGACAAGUGAAAGUCAAAAUGGAAAAUUCACACUUUUGGCACAAGUGUAUGGAGGCUAAAUCCUGGAUUAGGGUUGUUGGAUGGUCAAAGUUGGGAUUGUGGCAAGACUAGAUUCUGGGAAGAUCAAUAGUUAAUGAUUCUUUGGUCAUAGUUUUUCCACUAUAUUUCCUAGACUACAUAUAAUCUCCCUUGACUUCAUAUCACUAUUGAAAAAAAUAUCUUAUGGUUCUAACUUCUAUAGAUUUCAAUGUGCUGGUAGGUAUUAAAAGAGUACAAUGGUUAGGCUCAAUGACUGUGUAUGAAAAUGUUUCUCUAGAUGGAGAGUCUGGAAUAUUAGUUUGGAUGCUCUUCGAUGUUGUCAGGUUCCGGAAACUUUAGUGUGACAUAUUUCUAUUAUGGCAUGGGAAAACAUUGGGUGAUGCCUUACAAUUUUUUGUGGAGAGUAAAAAAAUCCUCUGUGUAUCAAACUUUCCCAUGGCUGAUGCUUAAAAGAUCAUAUUGAGUAGAGAUGUUUUUUACACGAUGGUACUAAAUCUUAGAUAAUAUGCCAUAUAUGUUGGAGCAGUAAACCAAUAAACCACAUAUUGUGUUCCUAUCUACCGAACAUAUAUGUAUGGGAUAUCAUCAACAGAGGUUCGCAUGCAAUGAUGAAUGCAUUAAUAGACAUGCUAGUGGUUAGAAUAGCAAUUAUGUUUUGGAUUACUCAGAAGGUUAAGUAUAUUACAUGUAAUACAAAAAAUGUCUAAUCAAGCCAAUGAAUUAAUGUUUUGUUGAAUAUUUUCUUUUGGAUUGAUUGGUGGAUCUCUCUGCAGUGAAGGAGGAUCUAGUGGAUCAGCUUAGCUAUUGUGUAAAGCUAAUUGAACGCAUCGCAGUUGGCAUCUUCAAAACUGGGGGGGGGGAGCUGGGCAUCAUGGAUCCCAAGUAUGGUCAUGUAAUUUCCUUGAGCAACAAUGGAGGUGAUGGUGUUAUUGGCAGUGCUUAUUUAGUCGUUGUUAUAUUUUAAUCCGCACCUUCGUCGUGUAUUUGGUUCAUGGUUGAAACCUUGAGUGUUGUUCUGUUGUGUCGUGAUGAAAAACCUGUAGAACAUUCAGGUUUCCAUUGAUGGUAACUGGCGAACAACUUUUAUCUAAAGUAAAACUUAUGUUAGUAAACCACUUAUCUUGUUUGGUUCUCUUAAAAUUCAACCCUGAUUGCAAAUAACAAGUCGAAUAAUAAGAAAUGUAUCUGUAUUUUAGUUAUUCACUUGUUGCUAUUUCUCAUGUGGCGAUUGUUUUGGUGUCAUCAUAAUUUAUGUACAAUCUUACACUUGGUGGACCUGAUGAUGGGAAGCGAGGUCGAGAGCCAUCAUGGACGUAGUAGAGGCUAACACAAUGUUGUCCAUGUCUAUACGCAAUGCUGACAGAGGGGUAAAUAUUGAGGAGAUAUGGCUAGAGUGAUUGGGAUUAUGGGUGAAAAUCUUGGGGUUAAGAUUUAUGGGUGGUGUGGUCGUCAUCAUAGCAAAAGGGCCAUUGUUUCCUAUAAGAGGAGUGACGGCCGAUGGUGGUGGUGGAGCAUUGACAAUAUUAGGAUGGAGGAGAAAUAAUAAGCACAUCAUUAUAAAGUUGGAGAAAGAGAAUGGAACAGGGUCGGCGCUCCUCAGUCCAGAGCGAGAGGGCAAAGGGUGCUCUCGUGUGACGUUAUGGUGGAGUUGUUGCGGCGAAGUCCGAUGGUGACAGCUAGGUGGUGUAGGUUCAUGGGUCACCGAUAAAACUGAGAAUGGUUUUAUCUAAACCGGGUGUGUUGGGUCAGUUUUGCCUCAUAGUUUUGUUUGGUUCGGGUGUAAUGGGCCCGUUCGACAACAGGUUGGUUUAAGUUGGUUUCUUGUACAAAACAGUUGGAUAUGGUCAGUUACGGGCACGAACCGGUCUGAUUCCACCUUAGUUAAGCCUACUUUCUCACCCGGUUGGGAAACUGAUUUGUAGGUAUCUCUCCCUAGAUAGCCCUUAAAGCAACCACAAGAUGAUAGGCCAUGGCUCUCACGACCGCGGCCAACGGCGUGUGAGCACGCGGUGGCUGCUGCAAGGAUCAGCCUGCUCCAGCAACGUCCGCGACCUCCGCACCCAAAUCCGGCAUCCCAUGCGACCGCCGCGCCUGGAUCCGGUCUCCUCUGACUCUUCCCUGUGGUAAGCGCAUGGGGAAGCCAGCUCUCACAACCGUGCUAGUCGUUGUGUAGGCGGCGGCUGACGCCCUGGUCUCCGUGCUUCGGCUACCUCAGCGGCCGACGAGCCCGGACCUGGCUCCCGCGUCGAUUUCUCUAUCCUCUCCCCAGGCCUGCUGCUCUUGGAUGGCCCUCUUGCAUCGUCCCCCGCGACGGAUGGGCCCAUGCUACCGCCGGCCGGCCCUCCCUUCCCCGACUUCUACAACCACUACCUCGGUUGGAUCCGGGCGACUCGCCUCUCGCUGAGCGCCAGCCCCAACGAUGCACUAGGUUUAGUUCGGCUUGGGUGUAAAGAUUGAGUGGUUUGGUUUUGGUUGGGCCGAUGAAAAUAUAGUAUGGUUUAGUUUCGGUUGGCUGAUACAAAUAUUCGUGCGGGUUCAGUUCGGUCAUGGUGCAGUUUAUAAACCAUUCUCGGGUUGGGUCACCAUUGGCUUUUCAUGUGUUUGUCAGUGGUCCGGCCUCUCAUGUGACUCUACUUGGGAGCUCCUAAGUGGCGCCAAGCGCCACUUGGAGGAACAGGUGCUAACGCACUUGUAUUCAUGGGCCGGCCCAUUAGAAGGUCAGCGCUCGAUUACGUGACCAGUUUCCACGCAGUCGCUCGAUUGUGGUUGACCAGUUGACCGGUCAACCUUUGACUUUGAAAAAAGUAUGAAAUUUUUCGCAAAAAAGAAUAAUUUCAUGACUUAAAAAUGUUCAUGGAUUUUGAAAAGAAGUUCACAAACUUUAAAAAAUAGUUCACGGAUUGGAAAAAAAUUCAUUGAUUUUUUUUUCACAAAAGUUGAAAUUUUUAAUAUCAGUUUUGAAAAAAUUUCAUUGAAUUUGAAAAAUGUUCAUCGAAUUUAGAAAGUUCCACCAAUUUUAAAGAAAGGUAGAUCAAGUUUGAAAAGGGAAAUCAUCAAUUUUGAAAGAAUUCAUCGAUUUGAAAAAGUUCAUGCAUUUAAGAAACGAAAAAAAUAGGAAAAUGAAAAAAAAAGGAAAUGUAGAGAAUCCAAGUGAAAACACAGAAAAAAACUAAACAGAAAUGACAAUGGGCCUGCCCGUUACUAGACUUAGUGUACCGUAGGGUGUGCGCGUGUGGUGGCUUAAUGGGACAAGGCGCACAAGGUGAUGCAAACCAAUUUUUUUAUAUUGAACUUUUAUACUUAUUUUGAACUAAAUGAACCAUAUUAAAAUAUUAAUUAAUAUAGUGUUCUAUUGCUUAGCCACAUAACAAUGUUUCCAAACAUUAGUUAUAUUAUUCAUUGUUAUACAGUUGUAAUGUAUAUCAUUGAAUUUUUUUCUGCAAAAUUUAAAUUGUAUGAUGUACCAAAAAUUCCGUUUCUUGUUUAAAAAGGUAUUGAAAUUUAUUUUUUACUAUUGCAUAGAUUAUAUAGUGUAUAUACAUAUAUUUGCAUAUCUAUGCGUUUGUUUCCAUAUCGUUUAAUAUUAUUGAAUGACAUGGUAGAGAUUUCUAAAUCAUAUACACACUGACAAAAUUUCAAUAGUGGUUUCUAAUAUAUAUUAGGCACCAUGUUCGUGGAAAUUUCUAGCGCUUACAAAUGUGAUUUGAAAGUUGGGUUCAGUAAUAGAGUCAUCAAAGAAUAAAAAAUGUUGUUGAUUGUACUUUUGUGUAUGAUUUGAUUAUCUGACAUGAUCGUCUUGAUUUACUUGGUUUGAUUUGGUGCUUAUCCAUUUCUCAAAUGAAAAAAAUUAUGCAUUGGUUUAAACAUUGAAAUCUAGUUAUCAAAAAAUUUCACUAUGAAACUAAGACAUCCACCAUAAAGAGAGACUAGCGUAUCUAAACUCAAGGUUAGUCAGAUUGGUUUGCCUUCACAUGGUAUAAAUUGUUAUUAUAUGGUGUGAACUUGCGCUCCUGCAAAUUGAGGCUUAUUUCUAUAUUUAAUGUUUUAGAUGUAAUGUAUAAUUUUUGAAUCCUGGUAAAUGUCACAUGUGUGGCACGAAUGCAUGGCAAUUCCGAACGUUUUUUUAAUCGCAAGCUUAGUGACGUGAGGAUGACAAUUUUAGUUGUCAAAGUAUGACAACUUUCAUACUUCAAAGGAUGGCAACUUUAUUUUUCGGGUUUGUAAUUUUUUGAAUGGUAGCUUUAAUUGUAAAAAAGCCAGAGCCCGAGUGCUUCACACCACACGUGUGACACUUAUCAUUUGAGUAAUUUUUUAGUGUUUAUAUACUACUUCCUCUGUUCCUAAAUAUAAGUUUGUUUAGAGAUUCCAACAUGGAUUAUAUACGGAGCAAAAUGAGUGAAUCUACACUCUAAAAUAUGUCUAUAUAUAUCCUUAUGUAGUUCGUAUUGAAAUUGCUAACAUAAUUGUGUAUAGAAACGGAGGGAGUAGUAUAAUGUAUAGUAGGCUGUCGCCCUUUUACCCGGCCUAUACGCCAGCCCUAUUUUCACAAGUAAAGUGGGCAAACUUCCUAUGGCUUAGACUUAAUUUUUUUUGAGAGUUGCAUAGGAAAGGGUGGACAAUAUAUUAGGAGUAGGUUCUUUUGCAAGAUAAGACAUUAUGUAGGUGGCAGAACAAUUUUAAGUAAUUGCUCCCUUUUCCAUAUCCUCUUUGAACAUGUUUUUUGGGAAAUUUUUGUUUUUGCCACUAUAAUUUUUGCCAAUUUUGCUUAUGUCACACUAAAAUUUGACAUUUCACUUUUGCCACUCUUGCUUUUGACAAUGUAUCACAAUUGUCAUUAACAUGACGAGCCAACCACUUAUAUCAUAGGAGAAAAACAUUUUGCUAACCAAAUAUGGACAUGGCCGAGCUAACCACUUAUCGGUGCGUGUUAUCAUCCGGUUUUUAAAAAACCUUUUCCUUUCCGAAUUCCGGUCUAGUUUGCGGCUCCGACCCCAACUCGUCGUCGGCCUCGAUCCGAUCUACUUAUAGUAGAUCCCCCUAGUCCUCUCUCGUAACCUAGGAACACCGUGCGAGCACAGCUGUAGCUACGUGAUACGCACGGAGAAGUACCGACCGAACGUGCUGCACAACAGCAACACGAGGGAGACGAUCAUGGACAGCGUGUUCGGCGUGGUGGGCGGCGGCUUCGCGGUGGUGGCCGCCGGCACCUCCGCCGCGGGAAGAAGCGUCGUGUUCAUCAACCCCGACAACGACAGGGUCACGAGCCUCGGCUCCAAACUGCUUCUCGGCGUGUCCGGCGUCCCCGGAGACUGGUACGUAAUCCACCACGAUCGAGAUUAAUCAAUUCUCACGCUCCUUCGCCUGAGUCUUCGAUCAGUCUUUGUGAUCCUCGCCUGAGUCCUCCAUGCUUUUGUGUUUCGUAGCCUGCGGUUAAGGGAUGAGGUGAGGGCCAGCACGAGCAAGAUCCACAGCGCCGCCGCGGCUGCUGACGUCGCCCGGGGGGCGGUGAUCGGCUGCGCUCAGUCCGCGAACGCGGUGAUCGCCGGCUACGACAAGGCCGAGGGCCCGACGAUGUACGCCGUAGGCGGCACUGCGCCGCCGGAGCGGGUGGAGCAGUACCGCACCGCUGGGUGCGGGGCGGGCCUCUGCACGGCGGUGAUGGAGAACCACUACCGCCCCGGCAUGACGGUGAAGGAGGCUGUGGCGCUCGUAGACAGGUGCAUCAAGGAGGUCCGGCGGCUCGGGCUGGCUAGCUUCGUGAUCAUGGUCGUGGACAAGGAUGGGGCCAGGGAGUACACCAGGCGUAUACUAAGGCCGAAGGCGGUGAUAGAAAUAAAAUCCAGUCAGGGAACGCCUAUUGUAAGCACGAAUAAUUAAAGUAGUGGUAGUAUAUUUUGCGUAAAAUUUAUAUACAAACUUGUUUGUAAUUUGGAAAUUUAAGUGGGGUUCAUAUACAUGUUCUUUCUCACUCUUACCGGCUAUCUCCGCCACGUUUAUCAAACCCGCUCUGGAGGCAUUGUUUUGGCUUGACCGCCCCCUUGGGCACCAAAGGAAUCACUAGCUCCGGUUCGUCGGACCCGCCGGUGCCCGUGCGGUCUAUAGCGGUGGAAAUUGUCUGUUGGCCGAUACCUCUUGGCCGACAUCAUCCUCAAGUCUGGUUGUCCACCUGCCAAUCUCCUAGGCGCAACGGUGGAGGGCCAGCGAGUCUAGUCUAUAGUUUUGGUCGCGUGUUCGAGGUGUUUGGCAUCGAUUGAGGCGCGACCUUGGGCUCUAUGUCCUGCCUCAUUGCCAUUCGUAUGUUUGUCUGGCCCAGCCGUGGAGGAGUCACGGUUGAAGCAAACCACAGGUCAAUUUUUUUGGCAACAUUUGGAGUUGAGACUUUCUUAUCCCUCUUGUUACGACGGAUCGAGCAUAUGAUUCUUUUCUUGAUUGAAAUCAUUCACUUUUCCUUGAAAUCAUCACAAAGUAAUUGGAAGAAGAAGUGCUUGAGAAGCUAAUGGAUAUAUAUUCUAUGGUGGCUUCUCCAAUAGUUCGAGCCAUAGCUUCAUUUCAUUGUUUCUAUAAUUUUCUUCACUUUAUCAUUGCCCUCAAGUACAAGUAAUUUCUGACAAACUUUCUUUCCCAUGGUUCGGGUGGGCACGGAUAUGGAUGGCAGGACAUGAGUGAAGAUCCCUCAGCUAAGGGCUAGACCGGACGUUUCACUGUCUGAUGACGAGUGCACACAAAUCAACCCUAGAAGGAUUCUGCUAUGUCAAAAGUGUUUAUAUAAUCGAAUUGUUUAACGCCAAGAUGCCAAUAGCAAUGAUGGAUAAAGCAACUCCCACGAGUAGGGCUCGAAAGCCGGGGACUCUCCUGGCAAAGAAUCUGAACGAUCUGAGUUCUUUUUUGAGAAAGAAGAAGAUGCAAGGCAUGGAUCCAAGCCUGAAGGCGACGUGGAGUGUUAUUAUUAUCGUUACUCCAGAGAAUGGGAGGCACUCUCUUCUUGCAAAAUGCAGUUAUGAAAUCUGUAAUCUAGAUGAUUCUGGUUGAAGGGGACGAUGCAGCCUAGCGGUUACGAACUUUUUGUUCGAUUCAAAGGAUUUCCACUUAAGUAAAGCUAUGGUGGGAGGAAUUUUUUUCGAGUAAUUUUCUUUUGGCAAUAUGAAAAAGGAUGGGGAAAAUCUAUUAAAAAUCAAUUUUUCAACACUUCAAAUCAUCAAACACGUAGCAAGUUACACUCCCACAACACAUACAUCAAAAAGGCAAUUAAAUUACCCAAAGUAGCAGGAAGGCUGAAGCGGGAAGUAGGUGCGGCGACGCAAAGUAAGGGCAGAGGAGACGGGGAAGAUGCUCGGAGGCAGAAGCACGACAACCUCGGCCCGGGGAGGACAUGAUGGUGGCGACAACAGAUAGCAGAAAGCAGCAUCUCGACUGUCAGGCGCAGCCGCACCAGCGGAGGCUGGGUUUGUUGUUUCAUCGACAGUCCUGCUCGUCGGGACUCGGGAUAACUAAGACGGCGCCGCGGGCAGCUAGUAGUCAGACAGGAAGCAGCAACACGAUAGUCGAGGCACGCUUUGGGGGCAGGGGAAGGUCGGGGACAAGGAGGAUGAACUGCAAGAGCUCGCCAGGUUAGGCCCUGUACAAUGUUGUUAUCUUAGGUGUGCCACGUAGAAUAAGUGCUGAGAUGGUAGAAAGAGAAGUUAGGAAAAAAAGGUUACUUUUUUUUAAUCAAGAGAUGAUAUCUUAGCAUAAUAUGUCUCAUCACAUUUUUAGAAAUAGCUAAUUAUCGAAGAUAUGGCUAAGGGAUAACACAUUGUACACAUGUUUUUAGUGCCAUAUCUAAAUUACAUGAAAGACUUAAGAUAAAGACGGUCAUAUGAACCAGUGUACAUGCAUUUAGACCGUGGUCGCGUCUGGGUAAGGGGAUGUAUGCGUGUUUACGUGCUUGGGUUAGGUCGGCCAUUCCCUAUUCGGCGCUUAUGGCGCCAAUUACAACAUGUUUUUCUGUAAACUGACGCCCACCGCAAUCGGUCGCUCGCAGAACGGGCUGGCCCAUAUUAGCCACCGAGCGGCACUUCGUCUCGUUUUUUCGAAGCUCAAUCGAUUUCCGGACCUUACCAACCCGAUUUUUCUUUUUCACUUUGAUUUUUCUGGACCGGGUCAUCACUACUUGUUGUCUUUUUUCCUUUUUGUUAUUCACUACGGUUUUAGUUAUAUUAUUCUUUUUCGCAUUUGUUUCCUUAACCACGUGAACUUAUUUUAAAUUUAAAUUUUCACAAAUCUUUGAACUUUUUAAAAAUUAAAAAACCCUUCUCCAAAUUCGUGAACUUUUUCAAUUUUUUUUGUGAACGUUUUCAAUUCCGUAAGUUUUUAAAGAAAUUGUGAAUAUUGUAAAAGCAAUUCUGAGCAUUUUUUAAUUUAUGACCUUUUUCUUCAAAUUUUGUGAAUUAUUUUCAAUUUCUGCAAACUUUUUCCCAAUUUUUAAUUUCUUCUUUCAAAUUUGGUGAACUUAUUUCUAAUUUGAAAAACAAAAUCAUUUUUUCAAGAUUUCGAACUUUGUUCAAAUUUAUGAAUUAUUUAUUUUUCAUAUUCAACGUGUACUCGUCGUCAGUCAUCAGGUCAAAUGAAACAAAAACCCAGAAGAAAUACCCAGGCGACGACAUAGUAGAUGGGCCAGCACUAGAGCGGAGGCGCCCCUAUGUUUCGCUUAGGGCGAGACGAAGAGAACCCUCGCGUCAAGGGCAGCGUGAGAUGGGCCUGCCCAGGUGCGCUGUAGACCACCACAUUGUGUUUAUUUUGCUUUUUGGUUUUUUACUUUUGUUUAUACUUCCAAAUAUUAUUAGUAAAAUAUAUUACAAAAACAAUUGGAUGAAACAUUUUUUAAAAAAAGUUAAUCAAACAUUUUAAAAAUGUUAAAUGUGUAUAAAAAAUGUUUUUGUUAUAUACGAAAAUACAUAAUGUGUGUGAAAAGUUUAUCAUGUACUUAAAAUAAUUUAGUCAAGCAUUUUAAAAAGUUAAACAAUUAUUUCAAAUUUUUUAAUAAAACAUUUUAAAAAUGUUAGAUGUCUAUAGAAAAAAUGUUGAACAUUUAUUAAAAAAUGCUAAUCUUUCAUUUAAAAAAUGUUAAUCAAGCAUUUGGAAAAUUUUAAUAAGUAUAAAAAAAUAUGGACCAUGUAUUAAAAUAUUUAAUAUUGUAUUUAAAAAUGUUAAUUGAGCAUUUAAAAAUAUUAAAAUUUUGUAUAGAAAAACUUGACCGUGUAUUUAAAAAUGUUAAACUUGUAUUUUAAUAAUGCUAAACUUGCAUUAGGAAAAUGUAUUAGAUAUAUAUACCAAAAAUGUACAAUGUGUACGGGAAAAAUUAGACAUAAAAAAACAAAAUUUCGAAUUUUUUUAAUCAUUUAUUUGAAAAUGAUAACCAUGUAUAUUAAAAGAAGUUUCAAAUGUAUAUGAAAAAUCUUGAAUGUGUAGUGAAAAAAAAUUAACACGUGUUGAACCAAAAAGAAUCAUAUGAAUGAUAGAAAACAAGUAAAAUGAAGAAGUCCCAAUAAAAACCGAAAAGAAAAAAAAUGAAAAACCCGAAGAAACUAAUUUAAAAGAAUGGAAACAAAGAAAACCGAGAAAUAAACAAAUAAAAAUAGAGGAAAAAAAAUGAAAAACCGAUGACAACCGCUGAAAGAAAACUGAUGAAAAAGCAAAGAAAAUAGAAAAGCAAUAAGAAAUCGCGAAGAAACAAAGGAAAAAGAAAGGAAGACUAAAAAUAGAACAUAAAAGAAAAGAACCCGUAUUAUCCCGAGCGAGAACCAGCGAGCUCGGCGAAAAACAAAACAAACUCAGCGAAGGAAAAAUCAUGAAAAUGGGUCAGCCCAGUAGCUAUACCGCGGGCGUAAAACCUUUAGCGAGGCCUAAGGUAAUCUCACUAUAAACGAGGUAUAACAUAUGCGUGGUAUAGGCGCUCUCAUUUGGUCGUGCUAGGGAAGAGACUAGCCAGCCCAAACUAGUAUUCGGGCCUUUUUGUGUUGGGCUGAGCCCAUGCCAAAAAUAAAAGUCUAUAUUUACACAACUAAACAGUCUAUUGGUCUUGAAAGUUUGAAUUUAGGCAUUGAAUAGUGUAUCCAACCAUUAAUUGGGCUACAUCUGAUAACCUAGAACGUUGGGAUUCACGGCCAUACUAGGGUUCUGUGUUAUAUGGUUGUUCCAAAACAUUCAUGUUUUUUAUUAGAAAGACAAAGACAUCUUACAUAUGAAAUUAUCAAGAAAAACAACUAGUACAAUGAUAAGACACCUGGUAGCAGAACGAGCAGUUAAAAAUGAAAUUACAAUGGAAAUCACACUAGACUUCUUCCUCCGAUUGAUUGCCACUCACCAGAGAUUGAAAAUCAUACCGAACCAAUAAUAAGAGAAGAGGCACCUGCAAAUGCCCUCACCACACUAGGCAUUUAAAGACCGCGUAACCACUUGCCGCUUGAAACGAGAUCUAGAAGUCGGUGAAUAAACAUUAGUUGGAGCAUCAUGCCACGUAGGACAUGUUUGCAGUCCAUCCUACCUGCCAUGAGAGUUGGAGAAACCGGACCAUGCUGUAGAACAACACUGAAGAAGAUGUUGAAUUCGUUGCAUCAAUAGCUAACCAUGGCUCUCCUUGAUUGACAGACUAACUACCAAGAUCCAAACAAACCCAACAUAUCUGGUGACACAAACUCUUCAUCGAUGUCGGACCAAUCGUCGUUGAGGUAGGGAGAGGUUGGAGAGGCCUUAUUCAAACACAUUAUUGUCGCCAUCACUUCAUCAAUGCCACCAGAGAAAACAAACCUAAGAAAAAGACAAGCGAAAUAGAUGGGUCCCCACCCCUCUUAACGCCGACAAGGUUGUCAGACAGAGGAGAGAAGGGGGACCAAGGUGGCGGCAUGGAGGAGACCCUUGGGGGUUGUGGCUAGGGUUGGCAACGGAAGAUGGGGAUCUAUUUUUCCUUGAAACAUCCAUGAAUUAAUACAGGGUCAAUGCUAUCUCGAUGACUGGAUUGUUCUAGAACACCGAGUCAUCGACCCACCCUAGUACAUGCCUAUUUCAGCUGGUUGGAGCCAAUUGAAUCAUCAGUUCCACAUACUCACAUAUCUUGGAGCCAGGAGAAUCAUUUCACCAAAGCAGACAUUGGCAGCCAUACUUGCCUUGUGGCUGAACAAAGAAAUGAACUACUUCCCUACUAUUAAGUCUGACAAAAGGAAAAAAUAGAAUGCAAAUCGGAAAAGUAAACAAAUCAAUACAAUGCAUUACCCACAUACAUGGUAUCACCUACUAAGCAUUUUCCUCUUGGAAAGCUAUAGUAAAUGUUACAUGAAACAUAGCAAUAGGUGCCGCGAAUUUGUUUAAACUGCAUAUUCCUUGCAUGUGAUAUUUACUGACAUAUGAACAUGAGAAUCUUCCUUAUGAUAAUUCCAAGUAUUUCGUUUCUGUUUCUGUUUCAUGCCCAAUGUUCAUUUUGUUGGGGAACGUAGUAAUUUCAAAAAAUUUCCUACGCACACGCAAGAUCAUGGUGAUGCAUAGCAACGAGAGGGGAGAGUGUUGUCCACGUACCCUCGUAGACCGAAAGCGGAAGCGUUAGCACAACGCGGUUGAUGUAGUCGUAUGUCUUCACGAUCCGACCGAUCAAGUACCGAACGCACGGCACCUCCGAGUUCAGCACACGUUCAGCUCGAUGACGUCCCUCGAACUUCGAUCCAGCCGAGUGUUGAGGGAGAGUUUCGUCAGCACGACGGCGUGGUGACGAUGAUGAUGUUCUACCGACGCAGGGCUUUGCCUAAGCACCGCUAUAGUAUUAUCGAGGUGGACUAUCGUGGAGGGGGGCACCGCACACGGCUAAAAGAUCAAAUCAAUUGUUGUGUCUCUAGGGUGCCCCCCUGCCCCCGUAUAUAAAGGAGCAAGGGGGAAGGUGCGGCCGGCCAGGAGGAAGCGCGCCAGGAGGAGUCCUACUCCCACCGGGAGUAGGACUCCCUCCCUUUUCCUUGUUGGNNNNNNNNNNNNNNNNNNNNNNNNNNNNNNNNNNNNNNNNNNNNNNNNNNNNNNNNNNNNNNNNNNNNNNNNNNNNNNNNNNNNNNNNNNNNNNNNNNNNNNNNNNNNNNNNNNNNNNNNNNNNNNNNNNNNNNNNNNNNNNNNNNNNNNNNNNNNNNNNNNNNNNNNNNNNNNNNNNNNNNNNNNNNNNNNNNNNNNNNNNNNNNNNNNNNNNNNNNNNNNNNNNNNNNNNNNNNNNNNNNNNNNNNNNNNNNNNNNNNNNNNNNNNNNNNNNNNNNNNNNNNNNNNNNNCGGUAACCCCCCGGUACUCCGGUAUAUAUCCGAUAACCCCCGGAAUCAUUCCGGUGUCCGAAUAUAGUCAUCCAAUAUAUCAAUCUUCAUGUCUCGACCAUUUCGAGACUCCUCGUUAUGUCCGUGAUCACUUCCGGGACUCCGAACAACCUUCGGUACAUCAAAACUCAUAAACUCAUAAUAUAACUGUCAUCAAAACUUUAAGCGUGCGGACCCUACGGGUUCGAGAACUAUGUAGACAUGACCGAGACACGUCUCCGGUCAAUAGCCAAUAGCGGAACCUAGAUGCUCAUAUUGGCUCCCACAUAUUCUACGAAGAUCUUUAUCGGUCAGACCGCAUAACAACAUACGUUGUUCCCUUUGUCAUCGGUUUGUUACUUGCCCGAGAUUCGAUCGUCGGUAUCUCAAUACCUAGUUCAAUCUCGUUACCGACAAGUCUCUUUACUCGUUCCGUAAUGCAUCAUUCCGCAACUAACUCAUUAGUCACAUUGCUUGCAAGGCUUAUAGUGAUGUGCAUUACCGAGAGGGCCCAGAGAUACCUCUCCGAUAAUCAGAGUGACAAAUCCUAAUCUCGAAAUACGCCAACCCAACAAGUACCUUCGGAGACACCUGUAGAGCACCUUUAUAAUCACCCAGUUACGUUGUGACGUUUGGUAGCACACAAAGUGUUCCUCCGAUAAACGGGAGUUGCAUAAUCUCAUAGUCAUAGGAACAUGUAUAAGUCAUGAAGAAAGCAAUAUCAACAUACUAAACGAUCGAGUGCUAAGCUAACGGAAUGGGUCAAGUCAAUCACAUCAUUCUCCUAAUGAUGUGAUCCCGUUAAUCAAAUGACAACUCAUGUCUAUGGCUAGGAAACAUAACCAUCUUUGAUUAACGAGCUAGUCAAGUAGAGGCAUGCUAGUGACACUCUGUUUGUCUAUGUAUUCACACAAGUAUUACGUUUCCGGUUAAUACAAUUCUAGCAUGAAUAAUAAACAUUUAUCAUGAUAUAAGGAAAUAAAUAAUAACUUUAUUAUUGCCUCUAGGGCAUAUUUCCUUCAGUCUCCCACUUGCACUAGAGUCAAUAAUCUAGAUUUACACAGUAAUGAUUCUAACACCCAUGGAGCCUUGGUGCUGAUCAUGUUUUGCUCGUGGAAGAGGCUUAGUCAACGGGUCUGCAACAUUCAGAUCCGUAUGUAUCUUGCAAAUUUCUAUGUCUCCCACCUGGACUAGAUCCCGGAUGGAAUUGAAGCGUCUCUUGAUGUGCUUGGUUCUCUUGUGAAAUCUGGAUUCCUUUGCCAAGGCAAUUGCACCAGUAUUGUCACAAAAGAUUUUCAUUGGACCCGAUGCACUUGGUAUGACACCUAGAUCGGAUAUGAACUCCUUCAUCCAGACUCCUUCAUUUGCUGCUUCCGAAGCAGCUAUGUACUCCUCUUCACACAUAGAUCCCGCCACGACGCUUUGUUUAGAACUGCACCAACUGACAGCUCCACUGUUCAAUGUAAACACGUAUCCGGUUUGCGAUUUAGAAUCAUCCGGAUCAGUGUCAAAGCUUGCAUCGACGUAACCAUUUACGACUAGCUCUUUGUCACCUCCAUAAACGAGAAACAUAUCCUUAGUCCUUUUUAGGUAUUUCAGGAUGUUCUUGACCGCUGUCCAGUGACCUACUCCUGGAUUACUUUGGUACCUCCCUGCUAGACUUAUAGCAAGGCACACAUCAGGUCUAGUACACAGCAUUGCAUACAUGAUAGAGCCUAUGGCUGAAGCAUAGGGAACAUCUUUCAUCUUCUCUCUAUCUUCUGCAGUGGUCGGGCAUUGAGUCUUACUCAACUUCACACCUUGUAACACACGCAAGAACCCUUUCUUUGCUUGAUCCAUUUUGAACUUCUUCAAAACUUUGUCAAGGUAUGUGCUUUGUGAAAGUCCAAUUAAGCGUCUUGAUCUAUCUCUAUAGAUCUUGAUGCCCAAUAUAUAAGCAGCUUCACCGAGGUCUUUCAUUGAAAAACUCUUAUUCAAGUAUCCCUUUAUGCUAUCCAGAAAUUCUAUAUCAUUUCCAAUCAACAAUAUGUCAUCCACAUAUAAUAUAAGAAAUGCUACAGAGCUCCCACUCACUUCCUUGUAAAUACAGGCUUCUCCAAAAGUCUGUACAAAACCAAAUGCUUUGAUCACACUAUCAAAGCGUUUAUUCCAACUCCAAGAGGCUUGCACCAGUCCAUAAAUGGAUCGCUGGAGCUUGCACACUUUGUUAGCUCCCUUUGGAUCGACAAAACCUUCUGGUUGCAUCAUAUACAACUCUUCUUCCAGAAAUCCAUUCAGGAAUGCAGUUUUGACAUCCAUUUGCCAAAUUUCAUAAUCAUAAAAUGCGGCAAUUGCUAACAUGAUUUGGACAGACUUAAGCAUCGCUACGGGUGAGAAAGUCUCAUCGUAGUCAAUCCCUUGAACUUGUCGAAAACCUUUUGCAACAAGUCGAGCUUUAUAGACAGUAACAUUACCGUCAGCGUCAGUCUUCUUCUUGAAGAUCCAUUUAUUCUCAAUGGCUUGCCGAUCAUCGGGCAAGUCAACCAAAGUCCACACUUUGUUCUCAUACAUGGAUCCCAUCUCAGAUUUCAUGGCUUCAAGCCAUUUUGCGGAAUCUGGGCUCACCAUCGCUUCUUCAUAGUUCGUAGGUUCGUCAUGGUCUAGUAACAUAACCUCCAGAACAGGAUUACCGUACCACUCUGGUGCGGAUCUUACUCUGGUUGACCUACGAGGUUCAGUAACAACUUGACCUGAAGUUCCAUGAUCAUCAUCAUUAACUUCCUCACUAAUUGGUGUAGGCGUCACAGGAACCGGUUUCUGUGAUGAACUACUUUCCAAUAAGGGAGCAGGUACAAUUACCUCAUCAAGUUCUACUUUCCUCCCACUCACUUCUUUCGAGAGAAACUCCUUCUCUAGAAAGGAUCCAUUCUUAGCAACGAAUGUCUUGCCUUCGGAUCUGUGAUAGAAGGUGUACCCAAUAGUCUCCUUUGGGUAUCCUAUGAAGACACAUUUCUCCGAUUUGGGUUCGAGCUUAUCAGGUUGAAGCUUUUUCACAUAUGCAUCUCAGCCCCAAACUUUAAGAAACGACAACUUUGGUUUCUUGCCAAACCACAGUUAAUAAGGUGUCGUCUCAACGAAUUUCGAUGGCGCCCUAUUUAAUGUGAAUGCAGCCGUCUCUAAAGCAUAACCCCAAAAUGAUAGCGGUAAAUCAGUAAGAGACAUCAUAGAUCAUACCAUAUCUAGUAAAGUACGAUUACGACGUUCGGACACACCAUUACGCUGUGGUGUUCCGGGUGGCGUGAGUUGCGAAACUAUUCCGCAUUGUUUCAAAUGUAGACCAAACUCGUAACUCAAAUAUUAUCCUCCACGAUCAGAUCAUAGAAACUUUAUUUUCUUGUUACGAUGAUUUUCAACUUCACUCUGAAAUUCUUUGAACUUUUCAAAUGUUUUAGACUUAUGUUUCAUUAAGUAGAUAUACCCAUAUCUGCUUAAAUCAUCUGUGAAGGUGAGAAAAUAACGAUACCCGCCGCGAGCCUCAACAUUCAUCGGACCACAUACAUCUGUAUGUAUGAUUUCCAACAAAUCUGUUGCUCUCUCCAUAGUACCGGAGAACGACAUUUUAGUCAUCUUGCCCAUGAGGCACGGUUCGCAAGUACCAAGUGAUUCAUAAUCAAGUGGUUCCAAAAGUCCAUCAGUAUGGAGUUUCUUCAUGCGCUUUACACCGAUAUGACCUAAACGGCAGUGCCACAAAUAAGUUGCACUAUCAUUGUCAACUCUGCAUCUUUUGGUUUCAACAUUAUGAAUAUGUGUAUCACUACUAUCGAGAUUCAUCAAAAAUAGACCACUCUUCAAGGGUGCAUGACCAUAAAAGUUAUUACUCAUAUAAAUAGAACAACCAUUAUUCUCUGAUUUAAAUAAAUAACCGUCUCGCAUCAAACAAGAUCCAGAUAUAAUGUUCAUGCUCAACGCUGGCACGAAAUAACAAUUAUUUAGGUCUAAUACUAAUCCCGAAGGUAGAUGUAGAGGUAGUGUGCCGACGGCGAUCACAUCGACAUUGGAACCGUUUCCCACGCGCAUCGUCACCUCGUCCUUGGCCAGUGUUCGCUUAAUCCGUAGUCCCUGUUUUGACUUGCAAAUAUUAGCAACAGAACCAGUAUCAAAUACCCAGGUGCUACUACGAGCUCUGGUAAGGUACACAUCAAUAACAUGUAUAUCACAUAUACCUUUGUUCACCUUGCCAUCCUUCUUAUCUGCCAAAUACUUGGGGCAGUUCCGCUUCCAGUGACCAGUCUGCUUGCAGUAGAAGCACUCAGUCUCAGGCUUAGGUCCAGACUUGGGUUUCUUCUCUUGAGCAACAACUUGCUUGCUGUUCUUCUUGAAGUUCCCCUUCUUCUUUCCUUUGCCCUUUUUCUUGAAACUAGUGGUCUUAUUAACCAUCAACACUUGAUGCUCCUUCUUGACUUCUACCUCUGCAGCCUUUAGCAUUGCGAAGAGCUCGGGAAUCGUCUUAUCCAUCCCUUGCAUGUUAUAGUUCAUCACGAAGCUCUUGUAGCUUGGUGGCAGUGAUUGAAGAAUUCUGUCAAUGACGCUAUCAUCCGGAAGAUUAACUCCUAGUUGAAUCAAGUGAUUAUUAUACCCAGACAUUUUGAGUAUAUGCUCACUGACAGAACUAUUCUCCUCCAUCUUGCAGCUGUAGAACUUAUUGGAGACUUCAUAUCUCUCAAUCCGGGCAUUUGCUUGAAAUCGUAACUUCAACUCCUGGAACAUCUCAUAUUCUCCAUGACGUUCAAAACGUCGUUGAAGUCCCGGUUCUAAGCCGUAAAGCAUGACACACCGAACUAUCGAGUAGUCAUCAGCUUUGCUCUGCCAGACGUUCAUAACAUCUGGUGUUGCUCCUGCAGCAGGUUUGGCACCUAGCGGUGCUUCCAGGACGUAAUUCUUCCGUGCAGCAAUGAGGAUAAUCCUCAAGUUACGGACCCAGUCCGUGUAAUUGCUACCAUCAUCUUUCAACUUUGCUUUCUCAAGGAACGCAUUAAAAUUCAACGGAACAACAGCACGGGCCAUCUAUCUACAAUCAACAUAGACAAGCAAGAUACUAUCAGGUACUAAGUUCAUGAUAAAUUUAAGUUCAAUUAAUCAUAUUACUUAAGAACUCCCACUUAGAUAGACAUCCCUCUAAUCCUCUAAGUGAUCACGUGAUCCAAAUCAACUAAACCAUAACCGAUCAUCACGUGAAAUGGAGUAGCUUUCAAUGGUGAACAUCAUUAUGUUGAUCAUAUCUACUAUAUGAUUCACGCUCGACCUUUCAGUCUCAGUGUUCCGAGGCCAUAUCUGCAUAUGCUAGGCUCGUCAAGUUUAACCUGAGUAUUCUGCGUGCGCAAAACUGGCUUGCACCCAUUGUAGAUGGACGUAGAGCUUAUCACACCCGAUCAUCACGUGGUGUCUGGGCACGACGAACUUGUGACGCCCCAAGACCGACGCUCUAGAUGCCUUCCAUUUAGUUUCAUUGUCAUCGUGUGUUUCAUAUGUUUGUUGCCAUGAUCUUGAUGAGUGCCAUUGCCAUAUUCUGCUUCUUGCAUCACGUUCAUCUUAUAUUACAUUGCAUUGCACCAUCCUUGCUUUGUUCUAUGCUUCAUGAUGCGAUGUGCCUCUUGUCAUUCUAUUGCAUUGCAUCAUGAUCAUCAUGCCUUGUUUUGCAUAUUUAAGUUUUGUUGUGUGUUCUUGUGUGAACCCCUCUUAUUCUUAUCUCCACCUCAUUUUUGUUCCAUGCGCAUACCAGCAACAAUUCAUCAAGUUCACCCAAGUUUCUAUCCCAUCCAAACUUCUCCUUUUCCCUUUCUUUCAAUUAUUUCUCUAGUGGCAUUUUCUGCUCCAGAUUAAUGUUCACUAUAUUUUUUAUAUUCUCUACACCAUGCCAAGACCACCUCCUCCAGUUUUCAAGUCCUUUGGAAGUGUUUUGGUUGGGCUAAGGAUUUAUUCAAGCUUGAAUUAUUUUCAAACUUGUUUGAAUUUGCAGUCUCUUAAAAUUACCAGAGCAUUUUAUUCAAAUGCUGCAUAAUUCCUGGUGUCCAGGGAUAUUUUGUUCUUAGCCUAUUUCUUCUCAAAACUCCCUGGACUUUUCUUUUUCUAAACCUGGAGAUUCAAAGUUUUAGAAAAGAAGAAAAUGGAAGGGGCCUCCCAGCAGCGCACCUUGGGCCUUUUUCCCUCACCUACAGCCCAGCCAAGCCACCGCAGCCCGCCUGGCCCGACUUUGUUCACGGCCACCUGCCCCGUUGCGUCACCGUCUCUGUUCCAGAGACAGAGCGCUCGCGCUCGCGCCGUGAGUUUCACGGACGCCGAGGUCGCGCCGUCUUCUCCCCUCCUUUUUAAGCCAGUAGCCACGCCCUAGGGUUUCCCCUUCUCCCUCUCGUUUCCUCCGCCGCUGCCAGCCAGGAGGGCAGCUCCUCCCCGCUCCAUCUCCCCCCUGCAGCCACCAUGGCCGGUCCAAGAAAGAGCUCAUCACCGGAGUAGGAGCAUCGCCGGCCUCCCCACCGUCGACCCAGAGCACCUCAGCGCCUCCCAGAGUCUGUUCUGACGCCUAUCCGAGCCCUAGGACGCCUUCCCCGACGUCCUCUUCAUCCUCUACUUCGUCUUCUUCACGGACAGCAAGUCCACCGGAGUUUCUCGCCUCCUAUCCAUCGAUAUUCUGCGUCCCCGGCCGCAUCCUCAUGUCACAUGUAUACUAGGUAUACCCAAAUCCAAUCCUGCUCUUUUCCAUCGCGAUUUGAUCGCCGGAGUCAUCGCUAGAACCAUGCCAUCUUCGUGUUCUCGGUGCUCCGACGAGUUCUGAAUUUUGUUGUGUAGUUGCAGUAGUCGUCGUGGUUCCUCGCGCUUCGCCCCCGCUCUGAAUCCUCUCUAGCACACGCCGCCUUGUCGUGCCACUCCCUGCUCGCCACCGCUCCCGGCAGCUUCGCCGAUUGCCUCGCGUCGUCGUCGCCCGAGCCGAGCCAUGCUCGUGCUCAAGCAGGUCCUGCUGCUGCUUGCCCUGCUUCUCCUCGCCGCGCGUCCUCUGCACACACGCCGCCCAUUUGCUGCACCUUCGUGGGCACACCUCCAUGCACAUGCUUCUACACAUGCGCAUGGCCGCGCUCGACUGCAAGCCCGUGGCCUGCUGCGUCUUGCCUCGCCGCCAUGCCCGGGACGAGCUCAAGCUCGUGCUCGAGCCAAUCUCCUGCAGCUGCUCCGCCUGCACGCGACCAUCCCGCAGCUGCUCACACAUCCAGACCCGCAUGCCCGCCGCUGGUUUUUAGCCGUAGCCGCCGCUGCUUCUAGCCGCGAGCAACCGCUGGAGUUUUGCGUCCUCUGUUCAUCCAUGGAGGUCCAGGAUCGGGGCUUCAACCUAUUUAAGAUGUGCCAUGCUCUUCACUUUCACAAACACACAACCAGCUCGACUGGUUAACCCAUCGUGCCAUUAGCAGGAGGUCCUGGGUUUGAGUCCCAGGCGUCCCAAUUUUUGCAUAGUUUUUCGUUCUGCACACACACUGUCACUCGGGCCAAAUCCUCGUGGGCCGCUGCAGGAUCCUGCAAUUCGGCCCGAUUGUGUUUUUUAUCAGUCUUGCGUUUUGCUAUUUGUCUACUGCAUUGCAUAUUUACAGAAUUGCCAUUGUCUUAAAUUGUUUAUAGCUAAAUAUCCAAGCAUCCAAAAGAAACAUGCCAUAUAUGCAUCUUGCUCAGAUUUUCAUGUUCUUUAAACAGUAUGCAACUUUCCACCAUGUUUAAAAUGUUGUUUGCAAUUAAUUUGCUCUAAUGACAUGUUAAAAUGGUUUAAUUCAUAACUAAAUAACCGUAGCUCGGUUUUAAAUAAUCUUUAUAUGUAAAUGGGGUCGAAAAAUGCCUAGUUUAACAUGGUGCACUCUUCUUGCAUGUUUAACAACUCUAAAAUAUGGUUUAGGGCAGAACAGUACCAAAUCCAUAAAUUGCAUAUGAGGAUUUUUCCGGACUUGUUGCUUGUUGUUCCGACCUCAUUUAAACUUGCCUAGAUAGGUAGUUUUAUUAUGCUUCACCUCUUGCCAUGUUUAACAACAUUUAAUAUUGAUGGUACCUAAACGAGAGAGAACUAAAUAAGUCAUGUGGUGUUUCGUCAAUAUGCAACUCGUUGCAUAUUGAGCUACACUUAAUUUGUAGUGUUGUUUGUUGCACUUUGCCAUGCCAUGCCUCAUUAAACCGGACAUGCAUCAUACUUGGUUGUGCAUCAUGCCAUGUUUAUGUGAUGGUUGUUUACCAUGUUGUUUGCUUCUUUCCGGUGUUGCUUCUUCGGGUUAGUUCCGAUAACGUCGUGUUUGUGAGGAUUCGUUCGACUACGUCCGCUUGUCUUCUUCAUGGACUCGUUCUUCUUCCUUGCGGGAUCUCAGGCAAGAUGACCAUACCCUCGAAAUCACUUCUAUCUUUGCUUGCUAGUUGUUCGCUCUAUUUCUAUGCCGCGCUACCUACCACUUGCUAUAUCAUGCCUCCCAUAUUGCCAUGUCAAGCCUCUAACCAUCCUUUCCUAGCAAACCGUUGCUUGGCUAAGUUACCGCUUUUGCUCAGCCCCUCUUAUAGCGUUGCUAGUUGCAGGUGAAGAUGAAGAUUGCUCCAUGUUGGAUUAUGUUUAUGUUGGGAUAUCACAAUAUCUCUUAUUUUAUUAAUGCAUCUAUAUACUUGGUAAAGGGUGGAAGGCUCGGCCUUAUGCCUGGUGUUUUGUUCCACUCUAGCUGCCCUAGUUUCCGUCAUAUCGGUAUUAUGUUCCCGGAUUUUGCGUCCCUAACGCGGUUGGGUGUUAUGGGAACCCCUUGACAGUUCGCCUUGAAUAAAACUCCUCCAGCAAGGCCCAACAUUGGUUUUACCAUUUGCCUACCUACCACCUAUACCUUUCCCUUGGGAGUAAUUAACCUGAGGGUCAUCUUUAUUUUAGCCCCCCGGGCCAAUGCUUCUCCAAGUGUUGGUCCGAACUAGAGCCACUUGCAGCGCCACCUCGGGGAAACUUGAGGGCUGGUUUUAGUUGUACGUAGUGCACAUCCGGUCGUGGCCUGAGACGAGAUACGCGCGACUACUAUCAGGGUGUCGGCACGCCGGGAGGUCUUGCUGGUCUUGUUUUACCAUUGUCGAAAUGUCUUGUAACCGGGAUUCCGAGACUGAUCGGGUCGUUCCGGGAGAAGGAAUAUCCUUCGUUGAUCGCGAGAGCUUAUCAUGGGCUAAGUUGGGACACCCCUGCAGGGUUUGAACUUUCGAGAGCCGUGCCCGCGGUUAUCUGGCAGAUGGGAAUUUGUUAAUGUCCGGUUGUAGAGAACUUGACACUUGACUUAAUUAAAAUACACCAACCGCGUGUGUAGCCGUGAUGGUCUCUUCUCGGCGGAGUCCGGGAAGUGAACACGGUCUUGUGUUAUGUAUGCCUCCUUAUUACGCGCAAAAUAAUGAUUCCUCCACCUGACAGCAGGGACCCACCGGACGGGUCACCGUAUUUCGCGAAAAAAACGUUUCCCCCUGACUGCUGGGACCCACCAGCUACAUCUUCGCACGCAAGGAAGUGCGUCCAUAUUACGGGCAAAAAAUGAUUUGCCCCCCUGACUGCUGGGACCCACCAGCUACAUGUUCGCACGCAAGGAAGUGCCUGACAGUCGGGACCCACCUGGUCGAAGCGUACGUAUCGUUGUCAUUCUAGUGGCGAACGUGUACGUACACACUGGUCGAUCGGUCUGUCUGCAGGCUGCAGCGAUGAACCGUGGCUGUGUAAGGAAGGGCACGUGUCAUAGUAUAGGUGCGCACGUAGCAUGUACACAUACGUACAGCGGCCAGGGUGCAAUAAAGUAAAUACGGCCACGUACGUACAUACGGGCGGGGUCUCGAAUGCCUACUCACGCAUACGUACGACCAGGGCUCGUGUACAUGGCUGGGUCGGAAUGGAGAAGCUGCACCGUCGUAGUGAUCAUGGGGAGGCAACCGGCUGGGUCGGAACGGAAUGCGUCGUCGUGUUCAUCGGAAGCCAACCGGCUUGGACGGAACAACCGAUGGAAACGAGGCGUGGCAUACCACAGAACAGAGGAAACGGCCUUGGUUCGACCGGCCAUGGUCGAAACGGGAUCCUGUUCAUCGGGAGGGGUCUAGCGUACCGCAAAACGGAGGAAAUGGACCUCCUACGGUCGAAACGAGGUCCUGUUGAUCGGGAGGGGUGUGGCAUACCGCAAAACGGAGAAAACAGACUUGUGUUGGAGUGCUACGGUCGAAACGGGGGUCCUGUUCAUCGGGAGGGGUGUGGCGUACCGCAAAACGGGACUCCACGGGAUACUAGUCAUCUCCACCGUCGACCUCCUCCAGCCUCCGCGGGCUACUGUUCAUCCACCGUCGACCUCCUCCAGCAUCCACCUGCAACUGUUCAUCCACAGGCUCCUGUUCAUCCAGUUUCCACCGCGUGCUCCUCCAUCGGCUACUGUUCAACCAACCCUCUCCACGGGGUCCUGUUCAACCACCCCUCCACGGGCUACUAUUCAUCCAGCCCUCCACCGGCCACUGUUCAACCAGCCCUCCACGGGGUCCUGUUCAUCCAGCCCUCCAUGGGGUCCUGUUCAUCCAUCAGCUCGAUCGAUCGGGGUCCUGUUCAUCCAGCGGCAACGACCUCUACUACCACGGGGUCCUGUUCAUCCAACCCCCACCGGGAACUAUUCAUCCAAACCCCCUCAACAACGCACACUGUUCAUCAAGGGAAGGAGGCAACAAUGUUCGAUCGGCUUUAGUUAGCAGCAGUAGCGAAGGAAUCACUCGGGUUCAGUUAACAGCAAGGGAUCGAUCGAUCGCUCGGGUUCAGUAACGCGUAGCCUGCAGUGCAAUCGCUCGGGUUCAGUUAGAGCUCAACGCGUCGCUUGGGUUCAGUUAGAGCCCAAUGCCUCGCACACACGCGCGUACGUACGAGAGAAACGCGCAUCGCUCGGCCCCCGACCACCCACCGUAACCGGGAACUCCCCGAUAUUUUCCGCGCCCUCGCUUCUACCACGGUUUUUCCGUCAUGGAUGGCCCAAAGAAUGUCAUGCGGCUGCGUCUCCGGCCCGCCCAGGAUGAAAAGCCCAUUUUCUGUCAUGAUUUUUUGUCAUAGAAGUAGGACCCCACCACAUCUAUGAUGAUACCGGGUUUUGUCACAAUUAUCGUCAUAGGAGUGUCAUAAGUAUGACAGAAAAAAAUUCGUUUGGCCCAAAAUGUCACAGAUGUGUCUUUUUUUGUAGUGUUAGCAUGUUGAUCGUUCAGUUUUAUUGCUAUUGCUUUCUUCAUGACUUAUACAUGUUCCUCUGACUAUGAGAUUAUGCAACUCCCGGAUACCGGAGGAACACCUUGUGUGCUAUCAAACGUCACAACGAAACUGGGUGAUUACAAAGAUGCUCUAUAGGUGUCUCCGAAGGUGUUUGUUGGGUUGGAAUAGAUCAAGAUUAGGAUUUGUCACUCCGUGUAUCGGAGAGGUAUCUCUGGGCCCUCUCGGUAAUGCACAUCUCUAUAAGCCUUGCAAGCAAUGUGACUAAUGAGUUAGUUACGGGAUGAUGCAUUACGGGACGAGUAAAGAGACUUGCCGGCAACGAGAUUGAACUAGGUAUGAGGAUACCGACGAUCGAAUCUCGGGCAAGUAACAUACCGAUGACAAAGGGAACAACGUAUGUUGUUAUGCGGUUUGACCGAUAAAGAUCUUCAUAGAAUAUGUAGGAGCCAAUAUGAGUAUCCAGGUUCCGCUAUUGGUUAUUGACCGGAGAUGUGUCUUGGUCAUGUCUACAUAGUUCUCGAACCCGUAGGGUCGGCACGCUUAAUGUUUGAUGACGAUUUGUAUUAUGAGUUAUGUGAUUUGAUGACCGAAGUUUGUUCGGAGUCCCGGAUGAGAUAACGGACAUGACGAGGAGUCUCAAUGGUCGAGACGUAAAGAUCGAUAUAUUGGAAGGCUAUAUUCGGACAUCGGAAAGGUUCUGAGUGGUUCGGGUAUUUUUCGGAGUACCGGAGAGUUACGGGAAUUCGCCGGGGGAAGUAUUGGGCCUUAAUGGGCCAUACGGGAAAGGAGAGAAGGGCCUCAAGGGGUGGCCGCGUGCCCCCCCAUGGGCUGGUCCGAAUUGGACUAGGAGGGGGCGGUGCCCCCUCUCCUUCCUUCUCCCCUCUUUCUCCUUCCCUUCGUUCUCCAAGUUGGAAUAGGAAAGAAGGGGCUGAAUCCUACAUGGACCGGGAGUCCAAGUAGGACUCCCCCCUUGGUGCGCCCCCUCUAGGGCCAGCCUCCUCUUCCUCCCUCCUUUAUAUACGUGGGCAGGGGGCACCCCAAAAGCACUCUAAGAUUUGUCUUAGCCGUGUGCGGUGCCCCCCUCCACAGUUACACACCUCGGUCAUAUCGUCGUAGUGCUUAGGCAAAACCCUGCACCGGUAACUUCAUCAUCACCGUCACCACGCCGUCGUGCUGAUGGAACUCUCCCUCGGCCUCAACUGGAUCAAGAGUUCAAGGGACGUCAUCGAGCUGAACGUGUGCAGAUCGCGGAGGUGCUGUGUGUUCGAUACUUGGAUCGGUUGGAUCGCGAAGACGUUCGACUACAUCAACCGCGUUACUAAACGCUUCCGCUUUCGGUCUACGAGGGUACGUGGACACAUUCUCCCCGCUCGUUGCUAUGCUUCUCCUAUAUAGAUCUUGCGUGAUCGUAGGAAUUUUUUUGAAAUACUACGUUCCCCAAAAGUGGUAUCAGAGCUAGGUCUAUGCGUAGAUGUUAUAUGCACGAGUAGAACACAAAGAGUUCUGGGCGAUAAUAGUCAUACUGCUUACCAGCAUGUCAUACUUUGAUUCGGCGGUAUUGUUGGAUGAAGCGGCCCAGACCGACAUUACAUGACCGCGUUCAUGAGACUGGUUCUACCGCCGUGCUUAGCACAUAGGUGGAUAGUGGGUAUCUGUUUCUGCAAAUUUAGUCGAAUCAAGUGUGACUACGCCCGGUCCUUGUUGAAGGUUAAAACAUCACACUUGACGAAAAAUCGUUGUGGUUUUGAUGCGUAGGUAAGAUCGGUUCUUGCUAAGCCCGUAGCAGCCACGUAAAACUUGCAACAACAAAGUAGAGGACGUCUAACUUGUUUUUGCAGGGCAUGUUGUGAUGUGAAAUGGUCAAGACGUGAUGAUAUAAAUUGUUGUAUGAGAUGAUCAUGUUUUGUAAUAGAGUUAUCGGCAACUGGCAGGAGCCAUAUGGUUGUCGCUUUAUUGUAUGCAAUGCAAUCGCCAUGUAAUUGCUUUACUUUAUCACUAAGUGGUAGCGAUAGUCGUGAUAGCACUAGUUGGCGAGAUGACAACGAUGCUUCGAUGGAGAUCAAGGUGUCAAGCCGGUGACGAUGGUGAUCAUGAUGGUGCUUUGGAGAUGGAGAUCAAAGGCACAAGAUGAUGAUGACCAUAUCAUAUCACUUAUAUUGAUUGCAUGUGAUGUUUAUCCUUUAUGCAUCUUAUUUUGCUUAGUUCGGCGGUAGCAUUAUAAGAUGAUCUCUCACUAAAUUUCAAGGUAUAAAUGUUCUCCCUGAGUAUGCACCGUUGCGACAGUUCGUCGUGCCGAGAUACCACGUGAUGAUCGGGUGUGAUAAGCUCUACGUUCACAUACAACGGGUGCAAGCCAGUUUUGCACACGCAGAAUACUCGGGUUAAACUUGACAAGCCUAGCAUAUGCAGAUAUGGCCUCGGAACACUGAGAGCGAAAGGUCGAGCGUGAAUCAUAUAGUAGAUAUGAUCAACAUAGUGAUGUUCACCAUUGAAAACUACUCCAUCUCACGUGAUGAUCGGACAUGGUUUAGUUGAUUUGGAUCACGUGAUCACUUAGAUGAUUAGAGGGAUGUCUAUCUAAGUGGGAGUUCUUAAGUAAUAUGAUUAAUUGAACUUUAAUAUAUCGUGAACUUAGUACCUGAUAGUAUUUUGCAUGUCUAUGUUGUUGUAGAUCAAUGGCCUGUGCUACUGUUCCUUUGAAUUUUAAUGCGUUCCUAGAGAAAGCUAAGUUGAAAGAUGAUGGUAGCAACUACACGGACUGGGUCCAUAACUGGAGGAUUAUCCUCAUUGCUGCACAGAAGAAUUACGUCCUGGAAGCACCGCUAGGUGCAAGACCCGCUGCAGGAGCAACGCCGGACGUUAUGAACGCCUGGCAGAGCAAAGCUGAUGACUACUCGAUAGUUUAGUGUGCCAUGCUUUACGGCUUAGAACCGGGACUUCAACGACGUUUUGAACGUCAUGGAGCAUAUGAGAUGUUCCAGGAGUUGAAGUUAAUAUUUCAAGCAAAUGCUCAGAUUGAGAGAUAUGAAGUCUCCAAUAAGUUCUAUAGCUGUUAAAUGGAGGAGAAUAGUUCUGUCAGUGAACAUAUACUCAAAAUGUCUGGGUAUCAUAAUCACUUGACUCAAUUGGGAGUUAAUCUUCCAGUUGAUAGUGUCAUUGACAGAGUUCUUCAAUCAGUGCCACCAAGCUACAAAAGCUUCAUGAUGAACUAUAAUAUGUAAGGGAUGGAUAAGACAAUUCCUGAGCUCUUCGCAAUGCUAAAGGUUGCGGAGGUAGAAAUCAAAAAAGGAGCAUCAAGUGUUGAUGGUCAAUAAGACCACCAGUUUCAAGAAAAAGGGUAAAGGGAAGAAGGGGAACUUCAAGAAGAACGGCAAGCAAGUUGCUAUUCUAGUGAAGAAGCCCAAGUCUGGACCUAAGCCUGAGACUGAGUGCUUCUACUGCAAAGGGACUGGUCACUGGAAGCGGAACUGCCCCAAGCAUUUGGCGGAUAAGAAGGAUGGCAAAGUGAACAAAGGUAUAUGUGAUAUACAUGUUAUUGAUGUGUACCUUACUAAUGCUCGUAGUAGUACCUGGGUAUUUGAUACUGGUUCUGUUGCUAAUAUUUGCAACUCGAAACAGGGACUAUGGAUUAAGCGAAGAUUGGCUAAGGACGAGGUGACGAUGCGCGUGGGAAAUGGUUCCAAAGUCGAUGUGAUCGCCGUCGGCACGCUACCUCUACAUCUACCUUCGGGAUUAGUUUUAGACCUGAAUAAUUUUUAUCUUGUGCCAACGUUAAGCAUGAACAUUGUACCUGGAUCUUGUUUGAUGCGAGACGGUUAUUCAUUUAAAUCUGAGAAUAAUGGUUGUUCUAUUUAUAUGAGUAAUAUCUUUUAUGGUCAUGCACCCUUGAAGAGUGGUCUAUUUUUGUUGAAUCUCGAUAGUAGUGAUACACAUAUUCAUAAUAUUGAAGCCAAAAGAUGCAGAAUUGGUAAUGAUAAUGCAACUUAUUUGUGGCACUGCCGUUUGGGUCAUAUCGGUGUAAAGCGCAUGAAGAAACUCCAUAUUGAUGGACUUUUGGAAUCACUUGAUUAUGAAUCACUUGGUACUUGCGAACCAUGCCUCAUGGGCAAGAUGACUAAAACUCCGUUCUCCGGAACAAUGGAGCGAGCAACAGAUUUAUUGGAAAUAAUACAUACUGAUGUAUGCGGUGCGAUGAAUAUUGAGGCUCGCGGCGGGUAUCGUUAUUUCCUGACCUUCACAGAUGAUUUUAGUAGAUAUGGGUAUAUCUACUUGAUGAAACAUAAGUCUGAAACAUUUGAAAAGUUCAAAGAAUUUCAGAGUGAAGUGGAAAAUCAUCGUAACAAGAAAAUAAAGUUUCUGCCAUCUGAUCGUGGAGGAGAAUAUUUGAGUUAGGAGUUUGGUCUUCAUUUGAAACAAUGCAGAAUAGUUUCGCAACUCACGCCACCUGGAACACCACAACGUAAUGGUGUGUCCGAACGUCAUAACCGCACUUUAUUAGAUAUGGUGCGAUCCAUGAUGUCUCUUACUGAUUUACUGCUAUCGUUUUGGGCUUAUGCUUUAGAGACGGCUGCAUUCACGUUAAAUAGGGCACCAUCUAAAUCCGUUGAGACGACACCUUAUGAACUGUGGUUUGGCAAGAAACCCAAGUUGUCGUUUCUUAAAGUUUGGGGCUGCGAUGCUUAUGUGAAAAAGCUUCAACCUGAUAAGCUCGAACCCAAAUCGGAGAAAUGUGUCUUCAUAGGAGACCCAAAAGAGAUUGUUGGGUACACCUUCUAUCACAGAUCCGAACGCAAGAUAUUUGUUGCUAAGAAUGGAUCCUUUUUAGAGAAGGAGUUUCUCUCGAAAGAAGUGAGUGGGAGGAAAGUAGAACUUGAUGAGGUAACUGUACCUGCUCCCUUCUUGGAAAGUAGUUCAUCACAGAAAUCAGUUCCUGUGAUUCCUACACCAAUUAGUGAGGAAGCUAAUGAUGAUGAUCAUGUAACUUCAGAUCAAGUUACUAUCACGACCGGUUUUCCAAUAAAAAUAUUUAUUGAGAAACCGAUCCCUUUUACGGACCAGUAGAGAAGAAUCCUUCUCACUGGUAGACAAUUUCUUGAUCACAGAAGAGAAACCAGGGGUACUAAAUAUAAUACAAGGUUGAGCGGAGACUGCUCAACAAUUUUAUUACAUGCACGCCGAUAUUACACAUAACAGCGGAUAUGGUGGCAUAACUACUGACACACAAAUAAACGCGAUGGUGGAUAUGUCACAGUGAAGUGGGUGACAUGACUCCUAAAUCUUACAGCUCAUCGAGCGUCGGAGUGAGGCUCGAGGAUUCUUAUUGCGCGUGGCGGAAGCGCAUAUAACACAAGUGACCAAUAUCCAGGAUCGCACGGGACUGACUGGGACUCCUCUAGGCGUCGGACUCACUAUCAAACUCUUCAUCCAUGAGAUCGCCUUCGUCAACAUCUGGCCAAAUCAACAAGCCAGGUGAGUACUAUGAAAGUACUCGCAAGACAGUUUGGACAUAAGAUAUAACAAAUGCAAACAUGAUGCAUAUGAACAGAUUAAUAACGCGCACUCAGACAAUGAGAUAGCAAUGCAUGGGAAAUAAAAGGAAGUCGGGCGGUAGUCCUCCCGAAAUCCCAACGUAAUGCUGAAGGCCAAUCGAGUGUCUGAAAGACUCCUCGAAAGGAUACAAAUAAAAUAACAAUGCCGCAGUCGGGCGUCAAGGCGACACCACAUAAAGGGCUUAUAAUGGAAUAUAAAUGACAGUGCGUGCCACAGUCGGACAUCUGAGCGACAUCACGUAAAGGGCUUAUAUCAAAAGUAAAUAACGAGCGUGCCACAGUCGGACGUCUGAGCGACAUCACAUAAAGGGCUUAUAUCAAAAGUAAAUGACAAGAGUGCCACAGUCGGACGUCUGAGCGACAUCACAUAAAGGGCUUAUAUCAAAAGUAAAUGACAAGAGUGCCACAGUCGGACGUCUGAGCGACAUCACAUAAAGGGCUUAUAUUUCAUGACUUGAUAUUUCAGUAGCUCAUGAAUUUAAAUCAUUUCAAGGAAAUACUCAGGUACGAAAUAAUAAACCGGUUAGUCCAUCCACAGGAAUAACAUUCAACAGAGUUUACCACUCAAGCUUGUUUACCGGGGAUUUCCACGGAAACUGACACGGGGACUGACAUGAAUGUGGAUGUGUUGGCCACGGUCCUUGACCAUGGACACGAUGACUCGGAAGGAUUUGACUCUGCAGAGUUUGUACUAUUUAACCACAGCCAACGGAUUUCAGUAGUCACAAGGGACUAGUUCCGUUUACGGUGUUUUAGGAGAAACACAUCUAACUAGUACAAACCCAUUCAACAUUCCGAUGCCAGGAAUCACCCUCGGCAACGUUCAAGAAAAACCUUGAGACGGGGAGGCUACAACCUCGCGUAGCAUGGGAUCAAAUUUAUACCGCGCGCUCUAAGGGGUGCCCCCCUCUCGGUCCCAACCGAAAACACCCAUGCCCCCUGACCGGAUGACUGGCUUUAAUCCAGGGCCAUGGAACCCUCAUCCCGACCCCUCUAUUUGGUGUGUACAAGGAAAGAGGUUAGCAACUUACUAAACCGUAUUCUUUGCAGAAACCAUGUGGCAGCACGAAAGGGGAAGAAUGGUAACGUGGCUCAGUCCACGUUAACGUCGGAAUUUAUCGGAUGACGUAAGACUGGCAUGCUACAACAAUACCAUCUUACUACCUUUCAUGUCACCACAUGAUCAGGUCAUCUCUCAUCGAAGAUCACAGUAACUUCGAAGCACACGGUUAGUUGCCUUGCAUGCAACUUAAUACUCACCGAUGCUCAUAUGCCAUGCUCAAACCAAUCAAGCAAACAUGCAAAACACUCAUCAUAUCAAAGGUUCAAACAUGCUUGCCUGGUUCGGAGAAGUCGGAGUCUAGCUCGGCGAAGUUCGCGGCUCCUUCACCUCCUCCGGAACCUACGGUAUAACGAAACCGUAUACUAACGUGAAAACCGUUGCGUGUAUAAAAAUUGUUCCAAAUUUUUUCCAAAUAAAUACUAUAAAAAACUAGACAAAAAUAUAAGACUGAAAGAAAAAGAAUCAAUCAAAAAGCAUCUUCUGUUUAAAAUAUAUAAGGGUUUUAGUCCAAGGACUGAUCUGUGAUGAAACAGAAAAGAUCCAGGGGCUUGUUUGAGAAAACAGAAAACGGUUCGGUAUGAAAUACGCCAGCCCAGAGAGAAAACACGUUUUGCCCGAAGGCGCUUUCAGAAAACGGUUCGAAGGGGAAAAGAAGAGAGGCUGACGGGGGGGUCCCACCCGUCAGGUUCAAAUCUUCUAACGGAGCUCGCCGGCGCCCGAAGGCUGCGGUGGUCGCCGGCGUUGAACCACGGCGAGGCAGAGUGAUCGGAGGGUACCUACGGGUUCAGGGUGUUCUUCCGCGUCGGUGGGUGGUGGACUUGACCGUCGGUGAGCACCACGUCGACGGCGACACUAUCUCCGGCGGACGGUGGUUCGGGCGAUGGUGGAGCUCUCCAGUGGGUGCUGCAAGCUUCAAAUUGAUGCGCGGGUCAGAAGGGUGGAUGCACUAGGAGACUACUUGCAAGAGUUGAGGGGUAGGGGUGCACGCACGGGGGUGAAUCGAGCUGGGUCCCGAAGCGGGUCGAGGCGGCCGGAGUUGGGGAAGAAGACUCCCUCGGGGCUCUUCCAGUGGCUUGGCGUGGUACUGGUGGUGUGUAGAGGUGGUGCGGGUUCGAGUUCGGGCUCGGGGCCUCCUUUUAUAGGCGAUCCGAGGGGGUGGCCGUGAACGGGAUAACGCCGGUGAGAAAUUACGGCGAGGCAGAGGUUGGGCAGGGGUUUUAGGUGGCUAGGCAUCACCGUGGAGGAUCACUGGUGCCAUUCCUCUGCUAAACCUCGGCCGGGCUUGGUGUAAUACGUCGGUCCUCGACGGAAUGGCCGUACGGGCACGGCGGUGGCAGGGAGCGUGCUCCGCGCCUACCAGUUCACGACGACGGACUGCAGCGUGCACGGGUGAGUGGAUGGCCACGCGGUGGCCCCUGGUGGCUUGGGCGGCGCUGGACGGCGCCGUCCAACGCUGCACCUCUCUGGCAGCCGCAAAGGGCGCUGCUGCCGUCGCUCACGGGGUGGCGCACCUCCACCAGCUCGUCGCUGAAGCCCGCAAGCUUCCAGGCGAUCGUGCGGCGCAGGGAUAAGAAGGAGGGGACAGGGAGCAAGGCGCCACCGAGGCUACUGGCGAGAUCGAGGAAAGGUUCUGAAGAAAACGACAGCAGCUUCUGAAACUGUUUACUGAACUUUCUGAAUUUGACAGUAACAGUGUCCUUCAGGUGUUCGACGAAAUGAUUUGGCAUGAAGAAUUUUUUUUCUGGAGCUGGGGCUUGGUGAGGUGACCUCUCAAUGCAUCCAGAGGCUGCCUGAAUUUUCUCAGAUUUUUAGGAGGAGAAAACAAAUGAAUUUCAUCAAAUUUGACAAAUAUGGUCCAAACUUGCAGCAAGCAAAAUUUGAAAUAUUUGAACUGGAGACCAGUGGAUCUUCAUGGAUCUUGGUUGAGGGCUCUAAGGACUAGCCAGGGAAAUUGGUUUGGAGGCAAAACUCAAAGGAGAAAAGGUAGUUCCUUUGUAAAUCUUCAAGAGCCAAAGUAGAAGGUAGAAAAUAUUUUUGAUAAGAAAUAAAUGGAAGAAAAAUCAUGGGGGAGUUCAACUUGCUGGAUUUGAAGUUAUUUUGACACAAAGAUGGGGAAUGGCUUUUGGGAGGGGAUUUCCACUUAGGUCAUGGCAAGAGGAGAUUUUGAAAGGGGAAAAGAUCACUCCAAAUGCCAUAGGGCUAUUUAAAAGGAUUUUCAAAAAUUUUCCCAAAUGAAAAACAUUUGUGAUGAGUCAACAUAAGAUGGAAAAACCUCCAAGGCCAAAGAUCAAGUCUUGGGUAAAUCCAAACAAAAUACUUGACAUAAAAGAAAUUUUUUGAGAGGGAGAGUUCUUUAGAAGAAAAUUUUAAGUAACCUCCCUCAAAUCAAAUAAAAGUUAAAAAAAAGCCAAAUAAAAUUUUUGGGUGUCACAGUUACCGAACCUUGUAGGUCAACCAGAGUAAGAUCCGCACCAGAGUGGUACGGUAAUCCUAUUCUGGAGGUCAUGUUACUUGACCAUGAUGAACCUACGAACUAUGAGGAAGCGAUGAUGAGCCCAGAUUCCGCAAAAUGGUUUAAGGCCAUGAAAUCUGAGAUAGGAUCCAUGUAUGAGAACAAAGUAUGGACUUUGGUGGACUUGCCCGAUGAUCGGCAAGCCAUUGAGAAUAAAUGGAUCUUCAAGAGGAAGACAGACACCGAUGGUAGUGUUACUAUCUACAAAGAUCGACUUGUCGAAAAAGGUUUUUGACAAGUUCAAGGUGUUGACUACGAUGAGAUUUUCUCACUCGUAGCAAUGCUUAAGUCUGUCCGAAUCAUGUUAGCAAUUGACACAUUUUAUGAAAUCUGGCAAAUGGAUAACAAAACUGCAUUCCUUAAUGGAUUUAUUAAAUAAGAGUUGUAUAUGAUGCAACUAGAAAGGCUUUGUCAAUCCUAAAGGUGCUAACAAAAUGUGCAAGCUCCAGCGAUCCAUCUAUGGACUGGUGCAAGCAUCUCGGAGUUGGAACAUACGCUUUGAUAAGUUGGUCAAAGCAUAUAGUUUUAUAUAGACUUGUGGUGAAGCCUGUUGAGGGAGUCCUGGACUAAGGGGUCCUUGGGCGUCCGGCCAGUUAUCUGUUGGGCCGGACUGAUGGUCUAUGAAGACAUGAAGGCCGAAGACUAUACCCGUGUCUGGAUUGGACUCUACUUGGCGUGGAAGGCAAGCUAGGCGACCGAUUAUGAAGAUUUCCUCCUAUGUAACCGACUCCAUGUAACCCUAGAUCUCUCCAGUGUCUAUAUAAACCGGAGGGCAUAGUCCGGAUAGGUCAGAUUCAUUACCAUAUACUCAUAGGCUAGACUUCUAGGGUUUAACCAUUACGAUCUCGUGGUAGAUCAACUCUUGUAACACUCAUAUUCAUCAAGAUCAAUCAAGCAGGAAGUAGGGUGUUACCUCCAUAGAGAGGGCCCGAACCUGGGUAAACAUUGUGUCCCCUGUGUCCUGUUACCAUCGAUCCUAGACGCACAGUUCGGGACCCCCUACCCGAGAUCCGCCGGUUUUGACACCGACAUUGGUGCUUUCAUUGAGAGUUCCACUAUGUCGUCGACGAGAGGUUCGAUGGCUCCUUUAAUCGUCAGUCAUGACGUGGUCCAGGGAGAAACCUUCCUCCCUGGACAGAUCUUCGUAUUCGGCUUCGUACUACGGGCCAACUCGCUCGACCAUCUGGAGCAGAUCGACAGCUACGCCCCUGGCCAUCAGGUCAGAUUCGGAAGUUUGAACUACGUCGCGGACAUCCGUGGGGACUUGAUCUUCGACGAAUUUGAGACCGCGGCAACCGCUCCCCUUCGCCCCGUUGAACAUGGCUUAAACCUGUCCUUGGGCCGCAUCCAGGAGAUAGCUCCUAUAACAACUCUGGCCUUAGAUCCGGAGCAGAUCAAGACGUUCGAAGGUGGGAGACUCAACCCCAUCAUGAGGGCCACCGAGUCCGUGGCAUUGGGGCCACGCGCAGAUCCCUCUUCAUACAAUACCUGCACCAACGGAACCCCGGACUCGUCUCCGAUAUCGAGUUCCGAACCCUGCGAGCCCGUGGAUACCGAACUCGAUCGGUUAUCGAUCUUCAAGUUCAGCGCCGCGGACAUCUUCCAAUACUCGCCCAUGGGCGACCUACUAAACUCACUAAAAAACCUAUCCCUAGCAGACGGCUCACCGCCGAACUAUGUUCGGUUCGACCUUACGGCGGAUGAUGGAGAAUUUUGCUUCCCACCCGCCACCCACUUCAUAGCCACCGUCGAAGACCCAACCAACACGCCUGGCCUCUGCCCCGAAGACAUCGACGGUCUAGACGAUGAUGAGGGGCAGGGCCAGAACUUACUAUCCGCUAGACGCGGGACGACCACUUCCUGGUAGGACGCGUGCAUGGUAGACACACCCAACGACGAUCUCGACGAUGACAAGGAGGAUCCAGUCGAGGAUAAGCCUCCUGGUACACAGUCCGAACACCCGCGCCCCCCGCGCCACUCUCAGUCAUGCCACUCAAGAGAAAACAAUACUAGCACCGGAGGUGAUAAUACACCGGACAACGAAGACCCUGUUGAGGCAGGAUACGAACAGGAGGACCAGGAAAGCGGGGAAGAUAGCCCCGAUGAACAGGUCAUGUACGGAGACUCGAAGGAUAGUAAUUAUCUUCCCCUCUCCGAGGAGGAGGAGAGCCUCGACAACGAAGAAUUCAUCGUGCCGGAGGAACCUCUCGAGCAUGAGCGCUUUAAAUGCCGGCUAAUAGCCACAGCAAGGAAUCUAAGAAUAAAACAGCUGCAGCUUCAAGCAAGCCAAGAUCUGCUCAAUGAUAAAUGGACCGAGGUCCUAGCCACCAUAGAAUACGGCCCUAGUGGCCCGGACAAAAGCCACCCCAAGAACAGGUGGCUCCCUCCACAUGAAGGGAAGGCGUUGGAGCCCAUUCCACCAUUGAACAAUGCGGCAGGUCGACCACAGUUCGGUCCGGAUAAAGCAGCAGCCCAAGCAGAACAGCAUACUAACCAAUACGGCCGUAAGAACAACACGGUUCGGGAAAACAAUCGUGACAUCCGCCAAAGCUUAGUGGGCGGAGCAGGAGAGAUAAGAUCGACGUACAGAUCAAGGGGAUAUGCCCCGACCGGUGAUGAUGGUCAAUCAGCCGGACUUAACCGAGCCAACCACGCUUGAGGCCGCCAACGGCAUCCAACGGAGGUGCUUCACAGUUGUCGGCAUUCUGGGAACGGGGGUCCCCAGACUUGCCUGCCUGCGGCCCAUGGCGAGGCUAAGUCAGCGGGCCAUACGGCCCAUCUUCAUCAACGAGGCAUCCAAGACCCUCGUGAGCCAGACGAUGCAAGACCUCCUCAGGAGGGGCCUGGCCAGGCAGGCUCACGAGGAGCGGAGAUAUCAAGGCGGGGCAAACCUCAUGAGGCUCUCGUGACAUGAGCCAUGACGAUCGAGAGCAGGCGGGCGCCAGCGCGCGCAGCGUCCUUGUUUCCUCUUUGGUGCUAAGGAGGCCAGCGCAGGCGAGGAGUACCGAGGCAUCAGGCAAAGGUUGCCUUAUCGGUGCAACCAGACCAAGAUCAGAAGGACGGCAGGACGGAGGUCACCGUGGAGCCCAAGACGACAUCACCACCAGAGCCUUUGCAGGCGAAGACCACUUUUGUCAGGAUAGCUUGUACUAGCUGUCCCCCUUCAAAUUUGCCCGCCGUUGUUGGCUCCCUUCCCGCUCCAUAUUUGGGAAGAGGACCAGGGCCUAUAUAAGUAGAGCUAGCCACCACCGUAGGAGAUAACUCAUUCAGAGGCAUCUCACCCACACAAGUUCAUCGAGCACAAGAACACCUCAACCUCAGGAGGCUGUUCUGCCCCUUGUACUGUUCAUCAUCAGCCCAAGAGGCAAUCCACCACCACCACACUGGAGUAGGGUAUUACACCACAACAGUGGCCCGAACCAGUAUAAAUCUCGUGCCUUUCUGUGUUGUGAGUUGGUCGAGUUUGUCCGCGAGAUCUUAGCGAGCUAGGGCGUGGAUUGGUAGGAGGGAAAGAGCUUCACGCGCACCCCAGAGUUCGAACCUUAAGGGUUUUGCCGGAACCCCACAUCUGACAACAGUGUGGCCCAACAUAGAGGAGCCGCACACCCUCUUUGCUUCACCAACGAGGUAAUGGAGCACCACGGGUUUAAACCCAUCAACAUCGCAUCAUACGACGGAACAACAGAUCCCGCAGUAUGGAUUGAGGAUUACUCCUCCAUAUCCACCUGGCUCGCAUAGAUGACCUUCAUGCCAUUAAAUACCUGCCUCUCAAGCUUAAGGGUCUAGCGCGGUACUGGCUACACAGUUUGCCAGAAAAUUCUAUUGGCAGCUGGGAAGAUUUGGAAGACGCCUUUCAUGACAACUUCCAAGGAACAUAUGUCCGGCCAUCCGAUGCCAAUGACUUAAGUCACAUUGUCCAACAGCCCGGCGAGUCAGUCAGGGAACUCUGGACUAGGUUCUUAGUCAAAAAGAACCAAAUUGUCGACUGUUCGGACGUGGAAGCCCUUGCGGCCUUCAAAGACACCGUCCGGGAUGAAGGGCUAGCACGUCACCUCGGCCAGGAAGGACCUAAAUCCAUGACAGCCCUUACCGCUCUAAUGACUCGCUUUUGUGCGGGAGAAGACAACUGGCUCGCUCGUAAAAGCAACAAUGCCAGCGACCCGGGCACUUCCGAAAUCCGAGACGGCAACGGCAAGCCACGACUAAACGAACACAACAGUCCUGGCAAUAGUGAAAGAUUACGCGACACAUCGGUCAACGCAGGAUUUCACAAUCCGAAAACCGGUCAACGGAAGAAGCCAUUUAAGGCAAACCAGGAUGGACCAUCCACCCUCGACAGGAUAUUGGACCGACCUUGUCAAAUUCAUGGCCACCCUGAUAAGCCAGCUAAUCACACCAACAGAAACUGUUGGGUCUUUAAGCAAGCAGGCAAACUUAACGCCGAACGCAAUGGGAGGAGGCCACUAGGCGAUAAAGAUGACGGAUCGGCUCGCCAGCUGAACAUCAGGGGCCAGAAACAGUUUCCCUCCGAAGUUCGACCACUCCCAGAACGGAAGUAGCAGUUCGGCUUCCGCUACCCACCCGCUAUACCGGCAAGAUUCACACCACGCAUACAUCACUAUGCGCUCAAGAUACCAUGGGCACCGGCGGAAGCACAAUACGGGCAACCCUGCAAACAUUCCCGUAACGUUUUUUAUAUGUUUUCCAUAUUUUUCUUCAUUAUCUCUUAAAAACAGGUGACAAUUAGGACAGCAUCUAGUCGGACUCUAUUGGAGUUCGGACCCGUACACUCACCUAAGGGGCUACUUUCGUUAAGAACUCCCCUCCGAGAGGACGGGCGGCGCAGACGUGCGACAGGAGGUCCAAAAUAGCUUUUUGUAGACCGCACUCGUUAUUUUGAGCCUGUACUAUGCCCUUUUCCUCCGUUCCCGACCCCGAGCAUGUCAAAUAGCCGGGUUGUGGUUCUUCCUUUUUUAUACAAAUUUAUCAUUGGCAUAUUGCUCCACUCCCAGUAAACUUUAUCCGAGCUAACCUUAAAUACUCUGCAUACAAUGAGUACGGCCGUAACGGCUGUGUUACAGGACGCACCUCGGCAUAACUUGCCAGGGGCUCGGUAUGGGAACAAAUGAGUCACCAGUAAAAGUCCAAACAGCUCUAUAGCCUACUUCGGCGUCGCAAGCUUGGCCUUAUAUGCAUCAGCUCCGAAUCAUUGUCUUUGGUCAAUAGAUGGGUUGCCCGGCUCCUGUGUUUGCUACCCUAUGUUCCGCUCUAUCGGCUAGGGUAGUAAAGGGAGAACUACUGUGAUUGUGCCCUGGCUUUGACCGGAUGAGCGCCUCAGUAGAGAAAGCCAAAAACUGACUGUCAUGAUGCGACGAGAGCUGGUCAACCACUUGAUGACUUAUUCGAAUCUUUAGCGAUUCUCCGUGUUACGCGAAGGAUCUUUUUCAGAUCAAAACAUGUAAGGCACAAUAUUAGGAUACGCCGCAUACAUACCAGGGGCUAUGUCGUAGCCCCACCAUAAAACUCCUAUGGCUAAGUGAAAGUGUUAACGCCCUAUAGUCCGAUUGCCUGGUUCGCCGCAUUAUCACCUCCUUUAUGGACCAAGACGUUGGAUAAAGAGUGAUUCAAUGCUCUUCCAAACACCCCCGUAUUUCCUACGAGGGGGCUGAAGCCGACACUGGAAAACUUUCAAUUUAUAUUAAAACGUCCGCACAGGAGGAAUACAAGCUCUCGAGCAAAACAUAAAAAUAGAUUAACUAAAGUUGUCUGUUACAACCCUUGUACACAUCACUCGAAUAUUAUGUUUUUCGAGCACUGACCCUCUAUCAAGCGGGCGGCCUCAAGAAUGUCUUCAAAAUAACGCUCCGGUUCUGGACGGUCCUUGCGUUUGGGUGGACUCCUCGUCGCAACGUCAAUGGCCUUCAUCUUCCCCCAGAAUGUCUUGAGACGGGCGAAGGCCAUCCGUGCACCUUCAAUGCACACCGACCGCUUCACAACAUCGAUACGCGACACCACAUCAGCAAGCCGCUGCACCAGGCCGAAGUAACUACUAGGAACAGGUUCAGUUGGCCACAACCGGACUAUGACGUCCUUCAUGGCCGCGCCACAUAUCCUAUGCAGCUCGACCCACUAGGACAUCUGCUCAUUCGGCAACAGAGGGCACUUCGACGCGCCAAAUUGUGACCAAAAAAGCUUCUCCGUUGCAUACCCCUCUUGCGCAUGAUAAAACUGCGCCGCAUUGGAAGAACUCUUCGACAAAUCUAAAAAAUUGUCCGGAGAACUCCAUACUUGGUUAAGCUGAGCAUAGUUCGGAUCGCCGAACCUAGCCUGUAGAAAAAAGGGCUUGCCAGCCACAAUCUCCCCAGCUUGCCGGAUCUCCUCACGGGCUGCUCUGGCUUCAGACAGCGUUUCUCUCGCCUCUCAUAAGGCCUUGUCAAGUUCAACCAUUUUGGCUUCAUUUUCCUUCUCAAGAAGUUUAUAGCGGCUAGCUGCAUUUUCUAACUUGCGCGCCAUGGUGGACAUCGUCUCCUUGUCUUGACGCCGCGCGGCUUGUUCGGCCUUCAAUUCAGCCGAUGCCUUUUCGGCGGCCGCAUUACUAAACCGGGCCUGCUCCUUGGCCUGGGCUAGCUCCGCCCGAAGGGAUUCCACGGCGGCAGCACCAUCUGCAUUCAUGCACAUUUCAUAUCAAACUCUUUUCAGAGUCAGGCUUAAAUUACAGGCACAUUGGUAUAAGGAAUACUCGAAAUAUAUACCUUGCGAGUCAUCAAGACGCCUGUUGAUCAAAGCAAUGUCAUCCUCCACAAUAUCUAGCUUUCGCUGCAAUUCGGUCACCUCCGAAUUUCGGGCAGUGGCGGGAGGGGAGACAGCCUGCAUUCCAAAUUAAACCAAGGUUAGCACCUGAAAAUAUCUUUUCGAUCCUCCGAUCGCUUCCUUUGGAAGGCGACCCGAGUCUCAGGGGCUACUGCAUACACAACAGGUGCAUUCUGUCCAUAUUAUUCAAUUGGCAACAUUACAUCACAAACCUCAAAACCCCUCGGAAGGCUCGUAAAGGCCUCGUUCAACCCGCUCUUCGUGGAUAAAACCUUUUCGACCACCGUAACCAUUAAGGCACAGUGCUCCUCUGAAAUGGACGCUCGUCGCAGCAUGUCCGUCAGCGUCUCCGGCACUCCUGGGUCUUCGGACACCGCUGCCGGAGCACGACAUUCCUUUGGAGGAAUUCGCUUAGCCGCCUCCAGCAUUGUCUUCGGCUGUAAACUGGACAGUUCGGGGACGUCAUUCUUGAUCCCCAAACCCUGAGUGACAGAGGCACCACCUUCGGAUACCUCCUUCCUCGUUUCCUGCACUACCUGCUGGUUGGGUGGAGCCCUCUGGGACGACACCUCGAGAUUAUCCGCCCUGUUGGGCGAAGAGGCCGGAGAAGGCGUGUCACUCUCCAUCAUCUCUGGAAGAAGGUCUCCUGAGGAGGAGGACAAUUGAGAAACACCAGGUGUUAACCUGCGAGGAUGCACACAUGUUAGAGGAUUAUUUCAAUAACAAGGAAAAGAAUGAGGUAUGGUUGAAGUGCCCUGCUUCACUUACCGUCUGGCCGGAGGUUCGUCCUCACCAUCAAGCUCUACGAAGGCAUCGCUUGCCUGGCCCAAGCUGCCCGACGAGAGCAUUUUCCCUUUCUUGGAAGGUUUCCCCUCUUGACCUCCAGAAGCAGCCCUCUUCUUGCCAUGAAGUGCUCCCUCCACACCUUUGCCCCUGGGCAAAAGGGUUUCGGUUUCCCCGAACAUAGAGCUUAAAUCGCCCUAGGAUGGGCAUCACCUCUGGGCUCCCUGCUCUCGCCCCCUCUGCAGACACCAGGUACGGUGUCGGAGUCAACAUCCGCGUUAGUAGGGCGGACGCAGGGUCUUCGGGAAGGGGCGCCGGACACCAGAUUAACACCGCUUUCUUUAUCCAGUCCUGUAUAAGGAUGAGUUGCUCAGUGUCUUGUCAAGAGAUGCUUGGAUGAAAGGUGUACGACGAUUGAAUACUUACCGGAGUGUCCGGAUGAUUGCAGUCGAGGCCGACGUCUUCGGUGGUGUCCGGCCAUUGCUCUCGCUCCCCGAAAUAUAACUUCCACAUUCCUUCGUGCAUAGUGCCGAAGAAGUGCUGAAGAGUCCACCGCCCUUCUGGAUUAAACUCCCACAUACGGAGAGGCCGCCGCUGACACGGCAGGAUCCGGCGGACCAGCAUUACUUGAACGACGUUCACAAGUCGGAUGCGGCCUUGCAGAGUCUGCACCUUAUUAACGGAUCCCCAGUCCGAUCCCUUGUUGAUCCAUGAAACAAGCUGAGUUGGAGGGAUGGGUCGGAACGCAGGCGUAGCCACCCACUUGGAGCCCCGCGGCUCAUUGACAUAAAACCACCCCUGCUGCCAUAAUUCAGAAGACUUGGCGAAGGAUCCUUCAAACCAAACCGCGCUGGCGAGCUUGCUUAUUACAACGCUGCCACACUCCGCAUGCUCCUCCAUCACCCGCGGUCUCACAUCGAAAGUCUUGAGCCACAAACCAAAGUGUGGAGGAGUCCGGAGGAAGGCCUCACAUGUGACGAUGAAUGCCGAGAUGAGAGGAAAAGAGUGCGGGGCCAUAUCGUGAAAAUCUAGCCCAUGGUAGAACAUGAGCCCCCGGACGAAGGGGUUAAGUGCGAACCCUAACCCAUGGAGGAGGUGAGACACAAAUGCUACCCUCUCACCGGACUUGGGGGUGGGAAUAAUCUGCCCCUCAGCGGGAAGCCGAUGAAGGAUUUCUGGGGUCAGGUACCUCGCUACGCGGAGCUUCGCAAUAUCCUCCUCCGUGACGGAAGAGGCCACCCACCGGCCUGAACGGCUGGACCCGGACAUGAUUAGGGCUGGUGGUGGUUGGAACUCGAGGGCUGGAACUCGAGGAGGCUGGGGUUGAGGAAGAAGCAAGCACAGAAGAGAAAGACAAGUCUGGGUUCCUAUAUAAAGGCCCAGAAUAUUGAGCGUCCCCUCCCGGGUCAUGAAACUUACCUAUCCUCAAAGAGUUGUACCCAGGGGACGGUUGGGUUACCCAUACCUACAUUAUUGAAAAUCCCGGGAAUAAGGGGACACGAUCUCUGCUUUGACAAGACGUGCCAAUAAAACCGCUUCCCGAGACAUGGGGUGACGGGCUAGCCAACGGUUGGAAAUAAUAACCGGGCAGGCGUGAUACAAUGUCAUAAACAGUUGUCAGCAGAUGGGACUCGUGUAAAAUAUAUAAAUUCUCUCUGCGGUUCUGCGUGGUGUGUAACAGGUCCGGAUACAAUCAUCGCAUCCGAAGACUAUCUUGGAGUUCGGAAAAGGGGGAACCCGCCUUGCAAUGCCGAAGACAAUCUGCGCGCUGGACUCCUCGUCAUUGAAGCCAGGUUCAGGGGCUACUAAGGGAGUCCUGGACUAAGGGGUCCUCGAGCGUCCGGCCAGUUAUCUGUUGGGCCGGACUGAUGGGCUAUGAAGACAUGAAGGCCGAAGACUAUACCCGUGUCCGGAUUGGACUCUACUUAGGGUGGAAGGCAAGCUAGGCGACCGAUUAUGAAGAUUUCCUCCUAUGUAACCGACUCCAUGUAACCCUAGAUCUCUCCGGUGUCUAUAUAAACCGGAGGGCAUAGUCCGGAUAGGUCAGAUUCAUUACCAUAUACUCAUAGGCUAGACUUCUAGGGUUUAGCCAUUACGAUCUCGUGGUAGAUCAACUCUUGUAACACUCAUAUUCAUCAAGAUCAAUCAAGCAGGAAGUAGGGUAUUACCUCCAUAGAGAGGCCCGAACCUGGGUAAACAUUGUGUCCCCCGUCUCCUGUUACCAUCGAUCCUAGACGCACAGUUCGGGACCCCCUACCCGAGAUCCGCUGGUUUUGACACCGACACCUGUAUUUACAAGAAAGUGAGUGGAAGCACUACAGCCUUUCUGAUAAGUAUAUGCGAAUGACAUAUGGUUGAUCGGAAAUGAUGUAGUAUUUUCUGGAAAGCAUAAAGGAGUGUUUGAAAGGAGUUUUUCAAAGAAAGACCUCGGUGAAGCUGCUUACAUAUUGAGCAUCAAGAUCUAUAGAGAUAGAUCAAGACGCUUGAUAAGAUUUUCAAUGAGUAAAUACCUUGACAAGAUUUUGAAGUAGUUCAAAAUGGAACAGCCAAAGAAGGAGUUCUUGCCUGUAUUGCAAGGUGUAAAGUUGAGUAAGACUCAAAACCCAACCACGACAAAAAUUUAGAAAGAGAAUGAAAAGUCAUUCCGUAUGCCUCAGUAAUAGGUUCUAUAAAGUAUGCUAUGCUGUCUACCAGACCUAUUGUAUACCCUGCCCUGAGUUUGGCAAGCGAGUACAAUUUUUAUCUAAGAGUAGAUCACUAGACAGCGGUCAAAAUUAUCCUUAGAGGACUAAGGAAAUAUUUCUCGGUUAUGGAGGUGAUAAAGAGUUCGUCAUAAAGAGUUACAUCGAUGCAAUCUUUGACACCGAUCUGGAUGACUCUAAGUCACAAUCCGGAUACAUAUUGAAAGUGGGAGCAAUUAGCUAGAGUAGCUCCGUGCAGAGCAUUGUAGACAUAGAAAUUUGCAAAAUACAUACGGGUAUGUAUGUGACAGACCUGUAGACUAAAACUUCUCUCACAAACAAAACAUGAUCACACCAUAGUACUCUUUGGGUGUUAAUCCCAUGGCGAUGUGAACUAGAUUACUGACUCUAGUAAACCCUUUGGGUGUUGGUCACAUAGCGAUGUGAACUAUGGGUGUUAAUCACAUGGUGAUGUGAAUUAUUGGUGUUAAAUCACAUGGCGAUGUGAACUAAAUUAUUGACUCUUGUGCAAGCGGGAGACUGAAGGAAAUAUGCCCUAGAGGCAAUAAUAAAGUUAUUAUUUUAUUUCCUUAUAUCAUGAUAACUGUUUAUUAUUCAUGCUAGAAUUGUAUUAACCGGAAACUUGAUACAUGUGUGAAUACAUAGACAAAACAAAGUGUCCCUAGUAUGCCUUUACUUGACUAGCUCGUUAAUCAAAGAUGGUUAAGUUUCCUGACCAUAGACAUGUGUUGUCAUUUGAUGAACGAGAUCACAUCAUUAGGAGAAUGAUGUGAUGGACAAGACCCAUCCGUUAGCUUAGCAUGUUGAUCAUUCAGUUUUAUUGCUAUUGCUUUCUUCAUGACUUAUACAUGUUCCUCUAACUAUGAGAUUAUGCGACUCCCGAAUACUGGAGGAACACCUUGUGUGCUAUAAAACGUCACAACGUAACUGGGUGAUUAUAAAGAUGCUCUACAGGUGUCUCCGAAGGUGUUUGUUGGGUUGCCAUAGAUCAAAUUUAGGAUUUUUCACUUCGUGUAUCGGAGAGGUAUCUCUGGGCCCUCUCGGUAAUGCACAUCACUAUAAGCCUUGCAAGCAAUGUGACUAAUGAGUUAGUUAUGGGAUGAUGCAUUAUGGAACGAGUAAAGAGACUUGCCGGUAACGAGAUUGAACUAGGUAUGAGGAUACCGACGAUCGAAUCUCGGGCAAGUAACAUACCGAUGACAAAGAAACAACGUAUGUUGUUAUGCGGUUUGACCGAUAAAGAUCUUCAUAGAAUAUGUAGGAGCCAAUAUGAGCAUCCAGGUUCCGCUAUUGGUUAUUGACCAGAGAUGUGUCUCGGUCAUGUCUACAUAGUUCUCGAACCCGUAGGGUCCGCACGCUUAACGUUCGAUGACGAUUUGUAUUAUGAGUUAUGUGAUUUGAUGACCGAAGUUUGUUCGGAGUCCCGGAUGAGAUCACGGACAUGACGAGGGGUCUCGAAAUGGUCGAGACGUAAAGAUCGAUAUGUUGGAAGGCUAUAUUCGGACAUCGGAAAGGUUCUGAGUGGUUCAGGUAUUUUUCGGAGUACCGGAGAGUUACGGGAAUUCGUCGGGGGAAGUAUUGGGCUUUAAUGGGCCAUACGGGAAAGGAGAGAAGGGCCUCAAGGGGUGGCCGUGCACCCCCCAUGGGCUGGUCUGAAUUGGACUAGGAGGGGGUGGCGCCCCCCUCCUUCCUUCUCCCCUCUUCCUCCUUCCCUUCCUUCUCCUAGUUGGAAUAGGAAAGGGGGGGGGGGCGAAUCCUACUUAGACCGAGAUUCCAAGUAGGACUCCCCCCCUUGGCGCGCACCCUCUAGGGCUGGCCUCUCCUUCCUCCCUCCUUUAUAUACAUGGGCAGGGGGCACCCCAAAGGCACUCCAAGAUUUGUCUUAGCCGUGUGCGGUGCCCCCUCCACAGUUACACACCUCGGUCAUAUCGUCGUAGUGCUUAGGCGAAGCCCUGCGCCGAUAACUUCAUCAUCACCGUCACCACGCUGUCGUGCUGACGGAACUCUCCCUCGGCCUCAACUGGAUCAAGAGCUCGAGGGAUGUCAUCGAGCUGAACGUGUGCAGACGCGGAGGUGCCGUGCGUUCGGUACUUGGAUUGGUUGGAUCGUGAAGACGUUCGACUACAUCAACCGCGUUACUAAACGCUUCCGCUUUUGGUCUACGAGGGUACGUGGACACACUCUCCCCGCUCAUUGCUAUGCUUCUCCUAGAUAGAUCUUGCGUGAUCGUAGGAAUUUUUUUUAAAUACUACGUUCCACAACAUUGCCAAGAAACCCAAGUUGUCGUUUCUUAAAGUUUGGGGCUGCGAUGCUUAUGUGAAAAAGAUUCAACCUGAUAAGCUCGAACCCAAAUUGGAGAAAUGUGUCUUCAUAGGAUACCCAAAGGAAACUGUUGGGUACACCUUCUAACACAGAUCUGAAGGCAAAAUAUUCGUUGCUAAGAAUGGAUCCUUUCUAGAGAAGGAGUUUAUCUCGAAAGAAGUGAGUGGGAGGAAAGUAGAACUUGAUGAGGUAACUGUACCUGCUCCCUUAUUGGAAAGUAGUUCAUCACAGAAAUCAGUUCCAGUGAUUCCUACACCAAUUAGUGAGGAAGCUAAUGAUAAUGAUCAUGAAACUUCUGAUCAAGUUACUACCGAACCUCGUAGGUCAACCAGAGUAAGAUCCGCACCAGAAUGGUACGGUAAUCCUAUUCUGGAGGUCAUGUUGCUUGACCAUGACGAACCUACGAACUAUGAGGAAGCGAUGAUGAGCCCAGAUUCCACAAAAUGGCUUGAAGCCAUGAAAUCUGAGAUGGGAUCCAUUUAUGGGAACAAAGUGUGGACUUUGGUUGACUUGUCCGAUGGUCGGCAGGCCAUAGAGAAUAAAUGGAUCUUCAAUAAGAAGACUGACGCUAACGGUAAUUUUACUGUUUACAAAGCUCGACUUGUUGCGAAUGGUUUUUGACAAGUUCAAGGAGUUGACUAUGACGAGACCUUCUCACCCGUAGCAAUGCUUAAGUCCAUCCGAAUCAUGUUAGCAAUUGCCGCAUUUUAUGAUUAUGAAAUUUGGCAAAUGGAUGUCAAAACUGCAUUCCUAAAUGGAUUUCUGGAAGAAGAGUUGUAUAUGAUGCAACCAGAAGGUUUUGUCGAUCCAAAGGAUGCUAACAAAGUGUGCAAGCUCCAGCGAUCCAUUUAUGGACUGGUGCAAGCAUCUCGGAGUUGGAAUAAACGUUUUGAUAGUGUGAUCAAAGCAUAUGGUUUUAUACAGACUAUUGGAGAAGCCCGUAUUUACAAGAAAGUGAGUGGGAUCUCUGUAGCAUUUCUAAUAUUAUAUGUGGAUGACAUAUUGUUGAUUGGAAAUGAUAUAGAAUUUCUGGAUAGCAUAAAAGGAUACUUGAAUAAGAGUUUUUCAUUGAAAGACCUCGGUGAAGCUGCUUAUAUAUUGGGCAUCAAAAUCUAUAGAGAUAGAUCAAGACGCUUAAUUGGACUUUCACAAAGCACAUACCUUGAUAAAGUUUUGAAGAAGUUCAAAAUGGAUCAAGCAAAGAAAGGAUUCUUGCCUGUAUUACAAGGUGUGAAGUUGAGUCAGACUCAAUGCCCGACCACUUCAGAAGAUAGAGAGAAAUUGAAAGUCAUUCCCUAUGCUUCAGCCAUAGGUUCUAUCAUGUAUGCAAUGCUUUGUACCAGACCUGAUGUGUGCCUUGCUAUUAGUUUAGCAGGGAGGUACCAAAGUAAUCCAGGAGUGGAUCACUGGAGCGGUCAAGAACAUCCUGAAAUACCUGAAAAGGACUAAGGAUAUGUUUCUCGUUUAUGGAGGUGAUAAAGAGCUCGUCGUAAAUGGUUACGUCGAUGCAAGCUUUGACACUGAUCCGGAUGACUCUAAGUCACAAACCGGAUACAUAUUUAUAUUAAAUGGAGGAGCUGUAAGUUGGUGCAGUUCCAAACAGAGCGCCGUGGCGGGAUCUACGUGUGAAGCGGAGUACAUAGCUGCUUCGGAAGCAACAAAUGAAGGAGUCUGGAUGAAGGAGUUCAUAUCUGAUCUAGGUGCCAUACCUAGUGCAUCGGGUCCAAUGAAAAUCUUUUGUGACAAUACUGGUGCAAUUGCCUUGGCAAAGGAAUCCAGAUUUCAAAAGAGAACCAAGCACAUCAAGAGAUGCUUCAAUUCCAUCCGCGAUCAAGUCAAGGAGGGAGACAUAGAGAUUUGCAAGAUACAUACGGAUCUGAAUGUUGCAUACCCGUUGACUAAGCCUCUCUCACGAGCAAAACAUGAUCAGCACCAAGACUCCAUGGGUGUUAGAAUCAUUACAAUGUAAUCUAGAUUAUUGACUCUAGUGCAAGUGGGAGACUGAAGGAAAUAUGCCCUAGAGGCAAUAAUAAAGUUGUUAUUUAUAUUUCCUUAUAUCAUGAUAAAUAUUUAUUAUUCAUGCUAGAAUUGUAUUAACCGGAAACUUAGUACAUGUGUGAAUACAUAGACAAACAGACUGUCCCUAGUACGCCUCUACUAGACUAGCUCGUUGAUCAAAGAUGGUUAAUUUUCCUAGCCAUAGACAUGUGUUGUCAUUUGAUGAACGGGAUCACAUCAUUAGAGAAUGAUGUGAUGGACAAGACCCAUCCGUUAGCUUAGCACUUUGAUCGUUUAGUUUAUUGCUAUUGCUUUCUUCAUGACUUAUACAUGUUCCUAGGACUAUGAGAUUAUGCAACUCCCGAAUACCGGAGGAACACUUAGUGUGCUAUCAAACGUCACAACGUAACUGGGUGAUUAUAAAGAUGCUCUACAGGUGUCUCCGAUGGUGUUUGUUGAGUUGGCAUAGAUCAAGAUUACGAUUUGUCACUCUGAUUGUCAGAGAGGUAUCACUAGGCCCUCUCGGUAAUGCAAAUCACUCUAAGCCUUGCAAGCAAAGUGACUAAUGAGUUAGUUGAGGGAUGAUGCAUUACAGACCGAGUAAAGAGACUUGCCGGUAACGAUAUAGAACUAGGUAUGGUGAUACCGAUGAUCGAAUCUCGGGCAAGUAACAUACCAAUGACAAAGGGAAGAACGUAUGUUGUUAUGCGGUUUGACCGAUAAAGAUCUUCGUAGAAUAUGUAGGAGCCAAUAUGAGCAUCCAGGUUCCGCUAUUGGUUAUUGACCGGAGAGGUGUCUCGGUAAUGUCUACAUAGUUCUUGAACCCGUAGGGUCCGCACGCUUAAUGUUCGAUGACGAUUCAUAUUAUGAGUUUAUGUGUUUUGAUGUACCGAAGGUUGUUCGGAGUCCAGGAUGAGAUCACGGACAUGACGAGGAGUCUCGAAAUGGUCGAGACAUAAAGAUUGAUAUAUUGGAAGUUUAUAUUCGGACAACGGAAUGGUUUUGAAGUGUAUCGGGUAUUUUCCGGAGUACCGGGAGGUUACCGGAAACCCCCGGGGGAUUAAUGGGCCACAAUGGGCCUUGGUGGAGAAGAGAGAGGGCCGGCCAGAGGUGGCGCCCCCCCUUGCCCAGUCCGAAUUGGACACGGGGAAGGCCCCCCCUCUUCCUUCUCUUCUCUCCUCUUUCCCUUCUUCUCCUUCUUGGACUAGGAAAGGGGGAAACCUACUCCUCCUAGGAGUAGGAUUCCUCCCCCCUUGGCGCGCACCUUGUGGCCGGCCGUCCUCCUCCUCCUCUCCUUUAUAUACGGGGGAGGGGGCACCCCAUAGACACACAAGUUGAUCUUUAGCCAUGUGCGGUGCCCCCUCCACAGUUUCCACCUCGGUCAUAUUCUCGUAGUGCUUACGCGAAGCCCUGCGUCGGUAACUUCAUCAUCACUGUCACCACGCCAUCGUGCUGACGAAACUCUCCCUCGACCUCAGCUGGAUCUAGAGUUCGAGGGACAUCACUGAGCUGAACGUGUGCAGAUCGCGGAGGUGUCAUGCGUUCGGUACUUGAUCGGUUGGAUCGCGAAGACGUUCGACUACAUCAACCGUGUUACUAAACGCUUCCGCUUUCGGUCUAGGAGAGUACGUGGACACACUCUCCCCGCUCGUUGCUAUGCUUCUCCUAGAUAGAUCUUGCGUGAUCGUAGGAUUUUUUUUUGAAAUACUACGUUCCCCAACAUCUCUGUCCUCUCUCCUUCUCUCCUCCCUCCCCCAUCCCGGCCUCCUCCCUCCCUCUCUCCUCCCUCCCUCUCUCCUCCCUCCCUCCCUCCCUUCCUCCCUCCUAAAUCUAUGUUUUUUGAAUAAAAUAGAACAUAUAGGUUAUAUGAACAGAAUGUAGGUAUUUUGACUAGAAUAAAAUAUAAAAUAUAGCUAGAAUGGAGGUUUUACGAAUAGAAAAGAAAACUAGCAAAUAUGUUUUUUGAAUAUAAAAAGUUUUAGUAAUACAAAAUUAGUAAAAGAAAAUUUUAGUAAUACAAAAUUUUAGUAAUAGAGAUUUUUAGGUAUAGAAAAUUUUCAAUUAUAGAAAUGUAUUGGAAUGCUAUAUGAGAAAUUUUUAGGUAUUGAAUUUAGUAAUAAUUUUUUUAGGUAUCUAAUUUUUUUCACUCGGUGGAAUAUGCAUGCUUUGUAGAGUCGCGUCUUGAUGUCUACUACGCAACUUUAUUCUUGUAGACACGUGUUGGGCCUCCAAGCGUAGAGUUUUGUAGGACAGUAGCAAUUUCCCCUCAAGUGGAUGACCUAAGGUUUAUCAAUCCGUGGGAGGCGUAGGAUGAAGAUAGUCUCUCUUGAACAACCCUGCAACCAAAUAACAAAGAGUCUCUUUUGUCCCCAACACACCGAAUACAAUGGUAAUUUGUAUAGGUGCACUAGUUCGGCGAAGAGAUGGUGAUACAAGUGUAAUAUGGAUAGUAGAUAUUGUUUAUUAAUAAGAACAAUAAAAAACAGCAAGGUAGCAAUUGAUAAAACGGAGCAUAAACGAUAUUGCAAUGCUUGAAAAUGAGGCCUAGGGUCCGUAUUUUCGCUAGUGCAGUCUCCCAACAAUGCUAAUAUAAUUGGAUCAUAUAACCAUCCCUCAAAGUGUGAUGAAGAAUCACUCCAAAGUUCCUAUCUAGAAGAGAACAUCAGAAGAAAUUGUUUCUAGGGUACGAAACCACCUCGAAGCUGUUCUUUCCGAUCGAUCUAUCCAAGAGUUCAUACUAAAUAACACCAAACAAUUUCAGAUUCAUAAUACUCAAUCCAACACAAAGAACCUCAAAGAGUGCCCCAAGAUUUCUACCGGAGAAACAAAGACGAGAACGUGCAUCAACCCCUAUGCAUAGAUUACCCCAAUGUCACCUCGGGAAUCCGCGAGUUGAGUGCCAAAACAUAUAUCAAGUGAAUCAAUAGGAUACCCCAUUGUCACCACGAGUAUUCAUAUGCAAGACAUAUAUCAAGUGCUAUCAAAUCCGUAAAAGUAUUCAAUCUGAUAAAAUGAAAUCUCAAAGGGGAAGCUCAAUUCAUCACAACAAGAUAGAGAGGGGAAAACACCAUAUGAUCCGACUAUAUUAACAAAGCCCGCGAUACAUCAAGAUCAUCAUAUCUCAAGAACACGAGAGAGAGAGAGAUUAAACACAUAGCUACUGGUAGAAACCCUCAGCCCCGAGGGUGGACUACUCCCUCCUCAUCGUGGUGGCCGCCGGGAUGAUGAAGAUGGCCACCGGUGAUGAUCUCCCCCUCCGGCAGGGUGCCGAAAUGGGGUCUAGAUUGAUUUCUCAUGGCUACAGAGCCUUGUGGCGGCGGAACUUCUGAUCUAGGGUAACCCCGAGGGUUUUUGGAAUAUUUGGUGAAUUAUAGGGCAAAGAGGGGGCGCGGGAGACCACCGAGGUGGGCACAACCCACCUGGGCGCGCCUGGGCCCCCAGGCGCGCCCUGGUGGGUUGUGCCCCCCUCAGGGCACCCCCCAGGUGCUUCUCUGGCCCACUGGAUGUCUUCUGGUCUAUAAAAACUCCAUAAAAAGUUUCACGGUGUUUGGACUCUGUUUGAUAUUAAUUUCCUGCGAUGUAAAAAACAAGCAAAAAACAGCAACUGGCACUGGGCACUGGGUCAAUAGGUUAGUCCCAAAAAAUGAUAUAAAGUUGCUAUAAAAUGAUUGUAAAACAUCCAAGAAUGGUAAUAUAACAACAUGAAUACUUCAUAAAUUAUAGAUACGUUGGAGACGUAUCAGCAUCCCCAAGCUUAAUUCCUACUCGUCCUCGAGUAGGUAAAUGAUAAAAGAAAUAAUUUAUGAAGUGUGAAUGCUAGCAAAGUGCAUAUUUUUUAUCAAUGAUAAUUUCAAUCACUUUUCCUAGCAUCAUAACAACAAUUCUUUCUUAUAAAACUUCUCAUGAUAAAGUAGCAACCAAUUCACAUGUUAAGUUUCAAACAAUGAAUUCUCUUGAAACUCAACAACCUAUGUUCUCAGUCACCAAGCAAUUGCAAUUUCAACUUAUUCAACAGUGUCUAAGUAAGAGCUCCACAUACUCAACCAUCAUAUAGUCUUCUAUGAUUGCUAACACUCACCGCAUACACAUGAGCAAAACAUUUCAACCGGACACAUAGGAAGAUAGAGGCUCAUAAUUUCACCUCCCAACGUAUUCACCUCAAGGGUGAUGUCAACAAUAACAACUCAUGCUACCCAUAUCCGACUGGAUAUAUGUGCCUAGAUCUUUCCUCACCACAUGAUGCUUGCCAAAAGAGAAAAAUAAAAAGGAAUAGAGGGAAAAACUUUGACUCUUGCAUGAAAGUAAAUACAUAAAAGUAAAAUGUAGGCCCUUCAUAGAGGGAAGCAGAGGUUGCCAUGCGCUUUUUGUUUGUAUGCUCAACCCCUUAGUGCAAAAGACGUCACGUUAUAUUGCCCCUUAUGAUAGCAACCUUUAUUAUGCAGUCUGUCGCUUUUAUUCUUUGCCAUCACAAGUUUGUACAAUGCUCAAUUUUCUCUUACACUAAAUGAUCUAAUACUUUUAGAAGCAAGUUUUAUUACCUUAUUGCACCGAUGACAACUUACUUGAAGGAUAUUACUCAAUCCUUAGGUAGGUAUGGUGGACUCUUGAAAAUAAGAUUUGGGUUUAAGGGGUUUUGGAUGCACAAGUUGAAGGAAAUAUGCUCUAGAGGCAAUAAUAAAGUUAUUAUUUAUUUCCUUAUAUCAUGAUAAAUGUUUAUUAUUCAUGCUAUAAUUGUAUUAACCGGAAACAUAAUACAUGUGUGAAUACAUAGACAAACAGAGUGUCACUAGUAUGCCUCUACUUGACUAGCUCGUUGAUCAAAGAUGGUUAUGUUUCCUAGCCAUAGACAUGAGUUGUCAUUUGAUUAACGGGAUCACAUCAUUAGGAGAUUGAUGUGAUUGACUUGACCCAUUCCGUCAGCUUAGCACUCGAUCGUUUAGUAUGUUGCUAUUGCUUUCUUCAUGACUUAUACAUGUUCCUAUGACUAUGAGAUUAUGCAACUCCCGUUUACCGGAGGAACACUUUGUGUGCUACCAAACGUCACAACGUAACUGGGUGAUUAUAAAGGUGCUCUACAGGUGUCUCCGAAGGUACUUGUUGGGUUGGCGUAUUUCGAGAUUAGGAUUUGUCACUCCGAUUGUCGGAGAGGUAUCUCUGGGCCCUCUCGGUAAUGCACAUCACUUAAGCCUUGCAAGCAUUGCAACUAAUGAGUUUGUUGCGGGAUGAUGUAUUACGGAAUGAGUAAAGAGACUUGCGGGUAACGAGAUUGAACUAGGUAUUGAGAUACCGACGAUCGAAUCUCGGGCAAGUAACAUACCGAUGACAAAGGGAACAACGUAUGUUGUUAUGCGGUCGGACCGAUAAAGAUCUUCGUAGAAUAUGUCAGAGCCAAUAUGAGCAUCCAGGUUGCGCUAUUGGUUAUUGACCGGAGACGUGUCUCGUUCAUGUCUACAUAGUUCUCGAACCCGUAGGAUCCGCACGCUUAAAGUUUCGAUGACAGUUAUAUUAUGAGUUUAUAUGUUUUGAUAUACCGAACGGAGUCCCGGAUGUGAUCACGGACAUGACGAGGAAUCUCGAAAUGGUCGAGACAUGAAGAUUGAUAUAUUGGAAGCCUAUGUUUGGAUAUCAAAAAUGUUCCGGGUGAAAUCGGAAUUUUACCAGAGUACCGGGAGGUUACCGGAACCCCUCGGGGGCUUAAUGGGCCAUAGUGGGCCUUAGUGAAAGAGAGGAGAGGCGGCCAGGGCAGGGCCGCGUGCCCCCCCCUAGUCCGAAUAGGACAAGGAGAGGGGGGGCGCCCCCCUUUCCUUCCUCUCUCCCUCCUCUUUCCCCCUCCACUCCUAGUCCAACAAGGAAAAGGGAGGGAGUCCUACUCCCGGUGGGAGUAGGACUCCUCCUGGCGCGCCCCUCCUGGCCGGCCGCACCUCUCCCCCUUGCUCCUUUAUAUACAGGGCAGGGGGGCACCCUAGAGACACAACAAUUGAUCGUCUGAUCUUUUAGCCGUGUGCGGUGCCCCCCUCCACCAUAGUCCACCUCGAUAAUACUGUAGCAGUGCUUAGGCAAAGCCCUGCGUCGGUAGAACAUCAUCAUCAUCACCACGCCGUCGUGCUGACAAAACUCUCCCUCAACACUCGGCUGGAUCGGAGUUCGAGGGACGUCAUCGGGCUGAACGUGUGCUGAACUCGGAGGUGCCGUACGUUCGGUACUUGAUCGGUCGGAUCGUGAAGACGUACGACUACAUCAACCGCGUUGUGCUAACGCUUCCGCUUUCGGUCUACGAGGGUACGUAGACAACACUCUCCCCUCUCGUUGCUAUGCAUCACCAUGAUCUUGCGUGUGCGUAGGAAAUUUUUUGAAAUUACUAUGUUCCCCAACAGUGGUAUCAGAGCCAGGUUUUAUGCGUUGAUGUUAUAUGCACAAGUAGAACACAAGUGAGUUGUGGGCGAUAUAAGUCAUACUGCUUACCAGCAUGUCAUACUUUGGUUCGGUGGUAUUGUUGGAUGAAGCGGCCCGGACCGACAUUACGCGUACGCUUACGCGAGACUGGUUCUUCCGACGUGCUUUGCACAGAGGUGGCUGGCGGGUGUCAGUUUCUCCAACUUUAGUUGAACCGAGUGUGGCUACGCCCGGUCCUUGCGAAGGUUAAAACAACACCAACUUGACAAACUAUCGUUGUGGUUUUGAUGCGUAGGUAAGAACGGUUCUUGCUAAGCCCAGUAGCAGCCACGUAAAACUUGCAACAACAAAGUAGAGGACGUCUAACUUGUUUUUGCAGGGCAUGUUGUGAUGUGAUAUGGUCAAGACAUGAUGCUAAAUUUUAUUGUAUGAGAUGAUCAUGUUUUGUAACCGAGUUAUCGGCAACUGGCAGGAGCCAUAUGGUUGUCGCUUUAUUGUAUGCAAUGCAAUUGCCCUGUAAUGCUUUACUUUACCACUAAGUGGUAGCGAUAGUCGUAGAAGCAUAAGAUUGGCGAGACGACAACGAUGCUAUGAUGGAGAUCAAGGUGUCACGCCGGUGACGAUGGUGAUCAUGACGGUGCAUCGAAGAUGGAGAUCACAAGCACAAGAUGAUGAUGGCCAUAUCAUAUCACUUAUAUUGAUUGCAUGUGAUGUUUAUCUUUUAUGCAUCUUAUCUUGCUUUGAUUGACGGUAGCAUUAUAAGAUGAUCCCUCACUAAAUUAUCAAAGUAUAAGUGUUCUCCCUGAGUAUGCACCGUUGCGAAAGUUCUUCAUGCUGAGACACCACGUGAUGCUCGGGUGUGAUAGGCUCUACAUUCAAAUACAACGGGUGCAAAACAGUUGCACACGCGGAAUACUCAGGUUAAGCUUGACGAGCCUAGCAUAUAACAGAUAUGGCCUCGGAACACGGAGACCGAAAGGUCGAGCGUUAAUCAUAUAGUGGAUAUGAUCAACAUAGUGAUGUUCACCGUUGAAACUACUCCAUCUCACGUGAUGAUCGGACAUGGUUUAGUUGAUAUGGAUCACGUGAUCACUUAGAGGAUUAGAGGGAUGUCUAUCUAAGUGGGAGUUCUUAAGUAAUAUGAUUAAUUGAACUUAAAUUUAUCAUGAACUUAGUACCUGAUAGUAUCUUGCUUGUCUAUGUUGAUUGUAGAUAGAUGGCCCGUGCUGUUGUUCCGUUGAAUUUUAAUGCGUUCCUUGAGAAAGCAAAGUUGAAAGAUAAUGGUAGCAAUUACACGGACUGGGUCCGUAACUUGAGGAUUAUCCUCAUUGCUGCACAUAAGAAUUACGUCCUGGGAGCACCGCUGGGUGCCAGACCUGCUGCAAGAGAAACACCAGAUGUUAUGAACGUCUGGCAGAGCAAAGCUGAUGACUACUCGAUAGUUCAGUGUGCCAUGCUUUACGGCUUAGAACCGGGUCUUCAACGACGUUUUGAACAUCAUGGAGCAUAUGAGAUGUUCCAGGAGUUGAAGUUAAUAUUUCAAGCAAAUGCCCGGAUUGAGAGAUAUGAAGUCUCCAAUAAGUUCUACAGCUGCAAGAUGGAAGAGAAUAGUUCUGUCAGUGAGCAUAUACUCGAAAUGUCGGGGUAUAACAAUCACUUGAUUCAACUGGGAGUUAAUCUUCUGGAUGAUAGCGUCAUUGACAGAAUUCUUCAAUCACUGCCACCAAGCUACAAGAGCUUCGUGAUGAACUAUAACAUGCAAGGGAUGGAUAAGACGAUUCCCGAGCUCUUCGCAAUGCUAAAGGCUGCGGAGGUAGAAAUCAAAAAGGAGCAUCAAGUGUUGAUGGUCAAUAAGACCACCAGUUUCAAGAAAAAGGGCAAAGGGAAGAAGAAGGGGAACUUCAAGAAGAACAACAAGCAAGUUGCUAUUCAGGAGAAGAAACCCAAGUCUGGACCUAAGCCUGAGACUGAGUGCUUCUACUGCAAGCAGACUGGUCACUGGAAGCGGAACUGCCCCAAGUAUUUGGCGGAUAAGAAGGAUGGCAAGGUGAACAAAGGUAUAUGUGAUAUACAUAUUAUUGAUGUGUACCUUACUAAUGCUCGCAGUAGCAGCUGGGUAUUUGAUACUGGUUCUGUUGCUAAUAUUUGCAACUCGAAGCAGGGGCUACGGAUUAAGCGAAGAUUGGCUAAGGACGAGGUGACGAUGCGCGUGGGAAAUGGUUCCAAAGUCGAUGUGAUCGCGGUCGGCACGCUACCUCUACAUCUACCUUCGGGAUUAGUUUUAGACCUGAAUAAUUGUUAUUUGGUCCCAGCGUUGAGCAUGAACAUUAUAUCUGGAUCUUGUUUGAUGCGAGACAGUUAUUCAUUUAAAUCAGAGAAUAAUGGUUGUUCUAUUUAUAUGAGUAAUAUCUUUUAUGGUCAUGCACCCUUGAAGAGUGGUCUAUUUUUGUUGAAUCUCGAUAGUGGAGAUACACAUAUUCAUAGUAUUGAAGCCAAAAGAUGCAGAGUUGAUAAUGAUAGUGCAACUUAUUUGUGGCACUGCCGUUUAGGUCAUAUCGGUGUAAAGCGCAUGAAGAAACUCCAUACUAACGGACUUUUGGAUCCACAUGAUUAUGAAUCACUUGGUACUUCCGAACCGUGCCUCAUGGGCAAGAUGACUAAAACGCCGUUCUCCAGAACUAUGGAGAGAGCAACAGAUUUGUUGGAAAUCAUACAUACAGAUGUAUGUGGUCCGAUGAAUGUUGAGGCUCGUGGCGGAUAUCGUUAUUUUCUCACCUUCACAGAUGAUUUAAGCAUAUAUGGGUAUAUCUACUUAAUGAAACAUAAGUCUGAAACAUUUGAAAAUUUCAAAGAAUUUCAGAGUGAAGUUGAAAAUCAUCGUAACAAGAAAAUAAAGUUUCUACGAUCUGAUCGUGGAGGAGAAUAUUUGAGUUAUGAGUUUGGUCUUCAUUUGAAACAAUGCGGAAUAGUUUCGCAACUCACGCCACCCGAAACACCACAGCGUAAUGGUGUGUCCGAACGUCGUAAUCGUACUUUACUAGAUAUGGUGCGAUCUAUGAUGUCUCUUACUGAUUUACCGCUAUCAUUUUGAGGUUAUGCUUUAGAGACGGCCGCAUUCACGUUAAAUAGGGCACCAUCAAAAUCCGUUGAGACGACGCCUUAUGAACUGUGGUUUGGCAAGAAACCAAAGUUGUCGUUUCUUAAAGUUUGGGGCUGCGAUGCUUAUGUGAAAAAUCUUCAACCUGAUAAGCUCGAACCCAAAUCGGAGAAAUGUGUCUUCAUAGGAUACCCAAAGGAGACUGUUGGGUACACCUUCUAUCACAGAUUCGAAGGCAAGACUUUUGUUGCAAAAUUCGGAAUCUUUCUGGAGAAGGAGUUUCUCUCGAAAGAAGUGAGUGGGAGGAAAGUGGAACUUGAUGAGGUAACUGUACCUGCUCCCUUAUUGGAAAGUAGUUCAUCGCAGAAACCAGUUUCCGCGACGCUUAUACCAAUUAGUGAGGAAGUUAAUGAUGAUGAUCAUGGAACUUCAGAUCAAGUUAUUACUGAACCUCGUAGGUCAACCAGAGUAAGAUCCGCACCAGAGUGGUAUGGUAAUCCUGUUCUGGAGGUUAUGUUACUAGACCAUGACGAACCUACGAACUAUGAAGAAGCGAUGGUGAGCCCAGAUUCUGCAAAAUGGCUUGAAGCCAUGAAAUCUGAGAUGGGAUCCAUGUAUGAGAACAAAGUGUGGACUUUGGUUGACUUGCCCGAUGAUCGGCAAGCAAUUGAGAAUAAAUGGAUCUUCAAGAAGAAGACUGACGCUGACGGUAAUGUUACUAUCUAUAAAGCUCGACUUGUUGCAAAAGGUUUUCGACAAGUUCAAGGGAUUGACUACGAUGAGACCUUCUCAUCCGUAGCGAUGCUUAAGUCUGUCCGAAUCAUGUUAGCAAUUGCCGCAUUUUAUGAUUAUGAAAUUUGGCAAAUGGAUGUCAAAACUGCAUUCCUGAAUGGAUUUCUGGAAGAAGAGUUGUAUAUGAUGCAACCGGAAGGUUUUGUCGAUCCAAAGGGAGCUAACAAAGUGUGCAAGCUCCAGCGAUCCAUUUAUGGACUGGUGCAAGCCUCUCGGAGUUGGAAUAAACGCUUUGAUAGUGUGAUCAAAGCAUUUGGUUUUGUACAGACUUUUGGAGAAGCCUGUAUUUACAAGAAAGUGAGUGGGAGCUCUGUAGCAUUUCUGAUAUUAUAUGUGGAUGACAUAUUGCUGAUUGGAAAUGAUAUAGAAUUUCUGGAUAGCAUAAAGGGAUACUUGAAUAAGAGUUUUUCAAUGAAAGACCUCGGUGAAGCUGCAUAUAUAUUAGGCAUCAAGAUCUAUAGAGAUAGAUCAAGAUGCUUAAUUGGACUUUCACAAAGCACAUACCUUGACAAAGUUUUGAAGAAGUCCAAAAUGGAUCAAGCAAAGAAAGGGUUCUUGCCUGUAUUACAAGGUGUGAAGUUGAGUAAGACUCAAUGCCCGACCACUGCAGAAGAUAGAGAGAAGAUGAAGGAUUUUCCCUAUGCUUCAGCCAUAGGCUCUAUCAUGUAUGCAAUGCUGUGUACCAGACCUGAUGUGUGCCUUGCUAUAAGUCUAGCAGGGAAGUACCAAAGUAAUCCAGGAGUGGAUCACUGGACAGCGGUCAAGAACAUCCUGAAAUACCUGAAAAGGACUAAGGAUAUGUUUCUCGUUUAUGGAGGUGACAAAGAGCUCAUCGUAAAUGGUUACGUUGAUGCAAGCUUUGACACUGAUCCGGACGAUUCUAAAUCGCAAACUGGAUACCUGUUUACAUUAAAUGGUGGAGCUGUCAGUUGGCUGGAUCUACGUGUGAAGCGGAAUACAUAGCUGCUUCGGAAGCAGCAAAUGAAGGAGUCUGGAUGAAUGAGUUCAUAUCCGAUCUAGGUGUCAUACCUAGUGCAUCGGGUUCAAUGAAAAUCUUUUGUGACAAUACUGGUGCAAUUGCCUUGGCGAAGGAAUCCAGAUUUCACAAGAGAACCAAGCACAUCAAGAGACGCUUCAAUUCCAUCCGGGAUUUAGUCCAGGUGGGAGACAUAGAAAUUUGCAAGAUACAUACGGAUCUGAAUGUUGCAUACCCGUUUACUAAGCCUCUUCCACGAGCAAAACAUGAUCAACACCAAGGCUCCAUGGGUGUUAGAAUCAUUACUGUGUAAUCUAGAUUAUUGACUCUAGUGCAAGUGGGAGACUGAAGGAAAUAUGCCCUAGAGGCAAUAAUAAAGUUAUUAUUUAUUUCCUUAUAUCAUGAUAAAUGUUUAUUAUUCAUGCUAGAAUUGUAUUAACCGGAAACAUAAUACAUGUGUGAAUACAUAGACAAACAGACUGUCACUAGUAUGCCUCUACUUGACUAGCUCGUUGAUCAAAGAUGGUUAUGUUUCCUAGCCAUAGACAUGAGUUGUCAUUUGAUUAACGGGAUCACAUCAUUAGGAGAAUGAUGUGAUUGACUUGACCCAUUCCGUCAGCUUAGCACUCGAUCGUUUAGUAUGUUGCUAUUGCUUUCUUCAUGACUUAUACAUGUUCCUAUGACUAUGAGAUUAUGCAACUCCCGUUUACCGGAGGAACACUUUGUGUGCUACCAAACGUCACAACGUAACUGGGUGAUUAUAAAGGUGCUCUACAGGUGUCUCCGAAGGUACUUGUUGGGUUGGCGUAUUUCGAGAUUAGGAUUUGUCACUCCGAUUGUCGGAGAGGUAUCUCUGGGCCCUCUCGGUAAUGCACAUCACUUAAGCCUUGCAAGCAUUGCAACUAAUGAGUUUGUUGCGGGAUGAUGUAUUACGGAAUGAGUAAAGAGACUUGCGGGUAACGAGAUUGAACUAGGUAUUGAGAUACCGACGAUCGAAUCUCGGGCAAGUAACAUACCGAUGACAAAGGGAACAACGUAUGUUGUUAUGCGGUCUGACCGAUAAAGAUCUUCGUAGAAUAUGUCAGAGCCAAUAUGAGCAUCCAGGUUCCGCUAUUGGUUAUUGACCGGAGACGUGUCUCGGUCAUGUCUACAUAGUUCUCGAACCCGUAGGAUCCGCACGCUUAAAGUUUUGAUGACAGUUAUAUUAUGAGUUUAUAUGUUUUGAUGUACCGAAGAUUGUUCGGAGUCCCGGAUGUGAUCACGGACAUGACGAGGAGUCUCGAAAUGGUCGAGACAUGAAGAUUGAUAUAUUGGAAGCCUAUGUUUGGAUAUCGAAAAUGUUUCGGGUGAAAUCGGAAUUUUACCGGAGUACCGGGAGGUUACCGGAACCCCCCGGGGGCUUAAUGGGCCAUAGUGGGCCUUAGUGGAAGAGAGGAGAGGCAGCCAGGGCAAGGCCGCGCGCCCCUCCCCCCUAGUCUCAAUAGGACAAGGAGAGGGGGGCGGCGCCCCCCUUUCCUUCCUCUCUCCCUCCUCUUUCCCCCUCCACUCCUAGUCCAACAAGGAAAAGGGAGGGAGUCCUACUCCCGGUGGGAGUAGGACUCCUCCUGGCGCACCCCUCCUGGCCGGCCGCACCUCUCCCCCUUGCUCCUUUAUAUACGGGGGCAGGGGGCACCCUAGAGACACAACAAUUGAUCGUCUGAUCUUUUAGCCGUGUGCGGUGCCCCCCUCCACCAUAGUCCACCUCGAUAAUACUGUAGCGGUGCUUAGGCGAAGCCCUGCGUCGGUAGAACAUCAUCAUCGUCACCACGCCGUCAUGCUGACGAAACUCUCCCUCAACACUCGGCUGGAUCGGAGUUCGAGGGACGUCAUCGGGCUGAACGCGUGCUGAACUCGGAGGUGCCGUACGUUCGGUACUUGAUCGGUCGGAUCGUGAAGACGUACGACUACAUCAACCGCGUUGUGCUAACGCUUCCGCUUUCGGUCUACGAGGGUACGUAGACAACACUCUCCCCUCUCGUUGCUAUGCAUCACCAUGAUCUUGCGUGUGCGUAGGAAUUUUUUUAAAAUUACUACGUUCCCCAACACAAGUAGUAUCUCUACUUGGUGUGGAAUUUUUGGCUAGCAAAGAUGGGGGGCAAGCACCACAUGUUGAAGGAUCUAUGCAAUAUAACUUCUAUGUGAAUAUGAACAAACAUAAAUCAUUACGUUGUCUUCCUUGUCCAACGUCAACAAUUUUGGCAUAUAAUAUUUUGAUGGGGGCUCACAAUCACAAAAGAUUUCCAAGAUAGUGUAUUUGCAUGUGAAAGUUCUCUUCCUUCUACUAAUCAUUCAUGAAUUGCUUGUAUGACCAAUAUUGUGAUUGUCAAGCUUCAAAAGAUUUCACUUUCUAAACCCAAUGUGAAGCUACCACUAGGCAUGAUAUAAUUUCAACUUCAUGAUUAUUCAAUUCAUUCAACAAUUUACUCAUAGGAUAUAAGUGAAGCACAAGAGUAAAUGACAAGCUACUCCAGAAAGAUAUAAGUGAAGAUCAAGCGAGUAGUUAAGUAAAUGGGUAGCUAAUUGGGGACUCUCUCUUAUUUAAAACUUUUAGAUCUAAGUAUUUUAUUAAAACAACAAGCAAAAUGAAAAUAAAAUGACAUUUCAAGGAUAGAACAACUCAUGUGAAGAAGCAAAAACUUAGGAUCAACCGAUACUAACCGAUAAUAGUUGAUGAAGAAAGGUGGGAUGCCUACCGGGGCAUCCCCAAGCUUAGAUGCUUGAGACUUCUUGAAAUAUUAUCUUGGUAUGCCUUGGGCAUCCCCAAGCUUGAGCUUUUGUGUCUCCUUAAUUACUUUUAUAUCACGUUUUCCCUAAAUCUUAAAAACUUCAUUCACACAAAACUCAACAAGAACUCGUGAGAUAAGUUAGUAUAAACCAAUGCAAAAACCUUAUCAUUCUCUACUGUAGAAAAUCACUAAAAUUAUUAUUCAACAUUGCAUACUAAAUGCCUCUGCAUAUUUAAUACUUCUAUCCUCAAAUAGAAUCAUUAAACAAGCAAACAUAUGCAAACAAUGCAAACAUAACAUCAAUCUGCCAAAACAGUACAGUCUGUAAAGAAUGCAAGAGUAUCAAUACUUCUUUAACUCCAAAAAUUAUGAAAAUUUACCACACUGUAGAAAAUUUAUCAGAGCUUACUGUGCAAAAAAUUUCAACAUUUUAUAACAUUCUGACUUUUCUAGGGAAUUUUAGCAACAGUGGUAAACUUUCUGUUUUGAAACAGCAACAUGUAUACUUGCAAAAUAAGCAUGGUGAAGGCUAUCAUUGACAUUUUUAUUGAAAUGAAAGAUGCAAAACAUUAUUCUAAAUAACAAAAAGCAAACCAAAACAAAAUAAAAUGAUGCUCCAAGCAAAACUCAUAUCAUGUGACGAAUAAAAAUAUAGCCUUAAGUGAGGUUACCGAUAAUGUUGAAGACUAAAGAGGGGAUGCCUUUCGGGGCAUCCCCAAGCUUAGUUGCUCGGAUCUUCCUUGGAUAUUAACUUGGGGGUGACUUCGGCAUCCCCAAGCUUAGGGUCUUAUCACUCCUUAUUCUCCUCAUAUCGAUAUCUCAUCCAAAACUUCAAAACUUCAAUCACACAAAACUUAACGGAACUUCGUGAGAUAGGUUAGUAUGAUAAAGAGCAAACCAUUCACUUUGGUACUGUCAAAGACAAGAUUCAUAAUUGUUCUCACACAAUGCCUACUGUAGCAUAUCAUUUCCAUAAUUUAUAUUGAGCAAUAUAAGCCAUAGAAACUAGAAAACAAGCAAACUAUGCAUGGAAAACAGAAUCUGUCAAAAACAGAACAAUCUGUAGUAAUCUGUACUCAAACCAUACUUCUGCUACUCCAAAAAUUCUGAAUAACUAGGACAACGUAGGAAAUUUGUAUAUCUAUCUUCUGUAAAAAAAUCAGAAUUUUUCCACGUUCCAGUAAAAUAUAAGAAUUUCUGCACUGGAUGCAAAAGUUUCUGUUUUUGCACAGAAUCAAGUCAACUAUCAUCCACACUAUCCCAAAGGCUUUACUUGCACUUUAUUGAAACAAAAGCUAUAAAACAUGAUUACUACAGUAUCAUAAUCAUGUGAACACACAAAAACAGUAGGUAAAAGUGUUGGGUUGUCUCCCAACAAGCGCUUUUCUUUUAUGCCUUUUAGCUAGGCAUGAUGAUUUUAAUGAUGCUCACAUAAAAGUAAAGAAUUGAAACACAAUGGGAGCAUCAUGAAACACAUGGCAAUCACAUUUAAGCCUAACCCACUUCCUAUGCAUAGGGAUUUCGUGAGCAAACAAUCUACGGGAGCAAAAAUCAACUAGCAUAGAAAGGCAAAACAAGCAUAACUUCAAUAUUUUCAACACAUAGAGAGGAAACUCGAUAUUAUUGCAAUACCUACAAGAAAAUGUUCCUCUCUCAUAAUAAUUUUCAGUAGCAUCAUGAAUGAAUUCAACAAUAUAGUUAUCAAAUAAAUCAUUCUUUUCAUGAUGUAUAAGCAUAGAAAAUUUGUUACUCUCCACAUAAGCAAAUUUAUUCUCAUCAAUAGUAGUGGGAGCAAACUGAACAAAAUAACUAUCAUGGGAGUGAAAAUUAAAAUCAUGAUGACAAGUUUCAUGGUUAUCAUUAUUCUUUAUAGCAUACAUGUCAUCACCAUAAUCAUCAUAGAUAGCAACUUUGUUAUCAUAGUCAAUUCAAGCCUCAUCCAAAAUGGUGGAUUCAUCACUAAAUAAAGUCAUGACCUCUCCGAAUCCACUUUCAUCAUUAUAAUCAUCAUAAAUAGGAGGCAUGCAAUCAUUAUAACAAAUUUGCAUAUCAAAUCUUGGGGGACUAAAAAUAUCAUCUUCAUCAAAUAUAGCAUCCCCAAGUGUAUGGCUUUGCAUAUCGUUAGCAUCAUGGAUAUUCAAAGAGUUCAUACCAACAACUUUGCAAUCAUGCUCAUCAUUUAUACCAAACAUUAUAUUGAAUUUUUUUUCUAUCAAUUGAACACAAUUUUCCUUUCCAUCAUUUUCAUGAAAGACAUUAUAAAGAUGAAUAAUAUGAUGCAACCUCAAUUUCCUUUUUUUAUAGUUUUCUUUUACGAACCAAACUAGUGAUAAAACAAGAAACUAAAAGAUUCGAUUGCAACAUCUAAAGAUAUACCUUCAAGCACUCACCUCCCCCACAACGGCGCCAGAAAAGUGCUUCGUUGACGAGGUGUGAGUCACGCUUACCUAGCCUCCCCGGCAACGGCGCCAGAAAAGAGCUUGAUGUCUACUACGCAACUUUAUUCUUGUAGACACGUGUUGGGCCUCCAAGCGCAGAAAAUACUGUUGAAUAGUGAUGUUUUUGUUUGAGAGACACCAUAAGCAUGGGACGGCCUCACUCCUUUGCUUGUCCGCCGCUGCAGUGACUUCACCAUUAUGCUAGUCUGCCGCUGUCUAUCAGACUUUCUCGUUGGCCCCAUCCCCAUGUAUAUUCCACCUCACUCGCAACCGUGUGAGGCGUUGCCGCCAUGAAAGCUGGCAAAAUGGACAAAAAUAACCCAAAGGCAAAAGUAAGUUAAAUUAGAAAAUAAACUCUCAGCAAAACUAUUUCACAGAAAUAACCCUUUCAGGCAGCGUCCAACGCGUAUGCGCUAUGCCCCACAGUGUAGUUCCUAACGCGUAGGCGCCACUUGAAAGGGGUUAGAUUUGCGAAAUACUUUUGUCAAGAGUUUAUUUUUUAAAUUUGUUUCGUCUUUGGAUUAUUUUUGUCCAUUUUGCCAUGAAAACCUAGCUGCCGCAUUGGGGAAAUAUCUGGUACUCCCACCCCUAGGAUGCUCCCAGGGCUCCAAAACUCUGUAGCACAUUGACGCAACAUCAAAGUAUGUUGUCAAAAAAUUUAAAACGUAGCUUGAGAAACAUAAAUGAAAAUUUUGACAGUAAAUAGUAUGCAAUUUAUGUUGGGCUUUAGAUUAGGCCCAUUAUUACUGAUGUCCAUUUUGUCAUUUUUGUAUCUCGAGCAAUGUUUUAAAUUUUGAUUUGAAUUUUUCUAACAUCAUACAUUGAUGUUGUGCAAUGUGCUGGAUUUUUUUCAGAAUAUUUUACCAUUUUAAAAUGUGCUACCGAGUUUGGAGCACCGGGAACACCCUAGAGAUGGAAGUACUAGAUAUUUCCCCGUGCCGCAUUGGUGACGGCAGAUUAGUGGUGCAUCCGGAGAUGACCAUUGUUUGUGGAUCUGGCGGUGACGGUAUCGGUAUUGUGCCGGUGGCGCUGGACAUGGCGGCGGACAUGUUUCGCAUCACAAAGAUUAUGAAAUUAUAAAGGGCUUGCACUUCGGGUACCUCGGAACAAAUGACGACGGAAAUUAGAUAAAGGGUAACUGUCGUGCACAGUUUUAAUCCGUCUGUAUAAUUUUUUCUAACUCGCCAAGCGAGGCCUUAAUCUCGCCGCUUUGUCGGUUCCAUCCACAGAUAUAUACGGUAAGAAAGUAGGAAACGACACACCUGAUACGGACAGUCUGAACAGUUAGCCGCCGUGCCCAAGAAAGUAGGAAACCUACCUCGGAGUCUCAUUCGCUCGGAUGAUCAGAAAUGUCUGCACCUCGACUAUCGAAUUAUCGAUGGAAGCUCCAUGACAAAAUUUCAUUCACUAAAACAAGGAAGAAGCGGCUGUUUAAAACUAUUUACCGCACACGCAAACAGAAACUGUGAUGGAUGCACUACGGUUUAACCGCCCAACUAACCAUCUUUGGGUUACAAAACCGAGGAAACGAGGCUGAGUUAACAUCCCCAGUUUAACCAACAUGCAUAGCAAUUGCUGUUCGUCGGGCUCUAUAUAAACACGAUGGAUCAACCAAUAUCCUCACAACCACAAAUAUAAUUGCAGCUGAUUUGCAAGCAGCCUGACAGACAUGGCUAACAUGAAGCUACUAGCCGUGCUUGCUCUCGUGCAGCUCCUGUCACGCCUCCACGUCCAUCGCGUCUCCGCGUCCGUGGACAUGCCGACAGCGACCAGCGGCGGCAGCUGCCACGUUAGUGGAUACCUGCCGGGCCAAUCCGGCAACUGCAACCCGGAUCACGGCUCCACCUGCUGCGUCAACGGACACCGGUACCCGCAGUACAAGUGCUCGCCCCCUGUGUUGGCUGAGACCCCGGCGAUCCUGACUAUAAACAGCUUCGAAGAAGGUGGAGAUGGGGGCGGCAAAUCAUUCUGCGACAACCGCUACCACAAGGACAGCGAGCUGGUGGUGGCGCUGUCCACGGGAUGGCUCCGCCUGGACGGCACGAACAGGUGCAACAAGAUGAUCCGUAUCAAUGGGAACGGGCAGUCCGUGACGGCCAAGGUCGUUGACGAGUGCGACUCGGUGUACGGCUGCGACAAGGAGCACAACUUCGAGCCGCCGUGCCCAAACAACGACGUGGACGCGUCGCCGGCCGUUUGGAAGGCUCUGGGCCUCAACGGGAACAUUGGAGAGUUCAAGGUCACUUGGUCUGAUGUGUGAGCACAAAUAUGUACGGGACAGUUCGCUCCUUAGUCCUCACUUGUUAUAUUAUAUGCAGCUGCCGUAGGGGUGUGUGCGCGCGCGCAGUGCUACCGUUGGUGGCGCGGAGUUGCUGCUAUUUAAAUAAGUCACUGUUCACAUGUACUCGUAUUUGCUAUUUUCCCAAGUUUAUGUAUUUGCCUUGUUUGGGUGAUAUAUUUUGCUCCUUCCAUUCACAAAUAUAAGCUGUUUUCAGAUAUUUCAUUCAGUAUAGAAUACAUACAGAUUAAAAUGAAUGAAUAAACACACUAAAAUGUGUCUACAUACAUCUGAUUCAGAAAAAAAUAUAUUAAAACAUCUUAUACUCAUUAAUUGGCCCUUAAACCCUCCACCUCCAUCGACGGGUUUCACACCCUAAGUGGCUAAAAGUUAGUAGAGGGCUUCGUCUUCAUUGACAUGCAUUAUACUAAUGAUAGUCAUGUGUUUCUAGGGCAUAGUUUUAAAUACCGAACCAUGCAAAAUAGUGUUCAGCUCUUCAAAUAAGCUAUAGCCGGCUAUUUCAUAAUUUUAUUAGACAAUUGUACAUAAAUCCAGUUAGCGGUAGCGUGCUCAAACUGCUACAGCGGGCUAUAUCCAGCUAUUUAAAACUCUGAUCACCGGUGAGUUUCUAGGUAUUAAGAAAAUAGAAUAUUUCCAAAACUAUACAUUAAGAAAAAGUGAAAAAUAAAAAAUAUGUUAAAAACCAUAAAAGAAAAACGAACAAAAAAUAAAAUGGAAAAAGAACAAUAAAGGCAAAAAGAAUAAGAAAAGCCUCGAACUCUCGCAUAGGUCGGCCAAGGCACGCAGACCCCUGCACACGUAGUAAACACUAGCACCGAAGACAUGCGGCGCACACCGCGCCCGUGACUUAUUCGAAAGAUGUUUUCAUAUUCUGCACCCAUGCAUGGUGGGAGGGGAUCAUAUUUUGCACCAGAAAACAAAAGAAGCCAGGAAUAAGAAUAGUUAGAAAACAUAAAAAAAAAAGCUGGCUGCAAUCCCUUCGAUGGUCCAUAUUUUGGCUGUGUUCGGCAGCCCUCCACUCCUCGGUCACCGAGCGGAGCGGGCGGAGCAUCCUUUUAGCCGCUCCAUAAAUUAGAACUAGCUGC
rnacentral:lncRNA from 1 species